UUAAAGUUUGAUUUACAUAUUAAAAUUAAAUAAAUUAAAAAUUUUAAAUGUGUCGAUUAAUAAGUUGAAGAAUUAUUGAAAAAUAUAAACAUGUUAUAUAUAUAUCUACUUAUUUAUUUAAAAAUAGUAAGUUUAAAUGAUUAAUAAACUUAUACAAUUAUUUUAUGCAUAGUGAAGGUAAUCUCACCAUUCUAUUUGAAGAGAUGACAAAAUUCACAAAUACAACUAUGAGCUUCAUAUUACCAAACAGAAGAAAUGUAACUGCAGUAAUUGCAACUGUAUAAAACCAAACAGACUAAGUGUAGUUACAACUGCAGUAUUUGCAACUGCAUGUAUUUCCAACUACACUGUUUUUGCAAUUAUAUCCAACCAAACGGCCCCUAAGAUGCACUGCAGUUCCACAAAGUGGACCGCCUUCAUUAUUGCAAACUCAAACUCCACAAUUAUUUUUUUUGCUUUUUAUGCAGGACUCCUUUUUUUUUUUUUUUUUCCUAAAACACCAUUUAACUAUCUUUUUCUUCAAUUCCUAUUGUAUAAAUAAUAACUUUAUAAUAUUGAAUGAAAGUUGUUCGAGAAUACCACUUUAAAGUGACUGAGCAUAUAUUUAACUUAUUUUAAUUCGAAAUAACAAAAUAUAUAAAGAUAAUAAAGACUAGUUAAAAAUAAUUUGAUAGAAGAUUUUAAUUAAUCGAUCAUGAAGAUUUAUUUUUAUUUUCUUACUAUUUAACUAAUGACUAUUAAUAAAGUUAAUAGUUUUUGCGUAAGCCAAUAGAUUUGUUAGUAGUAAUAUAGAGAUUGGCGAGAAAAAAAUAAUUAAGCGAUAUCUAAGAGAAAAAAAUAUUUCAAGAUAGAAAAAUAAAAAUCAAUCUCAAAUAUAAUGAAAAGAUUGAUAAAUAUAAUGAUGGUGCUAGUACACAAAAAUAAAGAUUAGACUACAAAAAGAAUGAAAAGUGUCGAGGAGUUGAUCAAAACUAGACACUAAAAUCUUUCUCUUUUUAAAUUGAUUUGAGCCUUCUAUGGUUGGCAAAGAUCUCGAUUUGAUGCAACAGAAUACUAGCUGUUCUAUUCUACGAUAUAACAGCUUAAUUUUCGUCGUAUAGAUUUAUCAGCUCUACACAAGUAAAUUAGUCGAAAGUUCCACAAAAAAUAAUACCUUUUUUGGCCAACACUCAAAGAAUACAAAUAAUAGAAUAUAGAUAAGUUGUGUUUGUUGUGUGUUGUGAAGAAUAAAUAAGCUCACUAUAAAUGGACUUCACAAAUAUUAAAAUUAAAACCCAUAAGCUGUGUUUGCUUCCGAUUUAGGUACAAGUUAAGGUAUAAGUAAAAAUUAGACUAAUUUUACGUUUGUUUCUGGGAAUAAGAUAAUUGGUGCUUUGAUGGUUAGAUUGGAACAAAAAAAAUAUGAGUUAUAAAUUUAAAUUAAAAAUAGUUUAUCUAAUUAAUUAACAUCAAAAUAUUAAUUAAAAAUAAUUCAAUAAAUUAAUAAAUUUAUUACGUAUGAAUAUUAUGAUAAAUUAAUAAUUUAAUAAAUAUAAAUAUUAGUUAAUUAUAGAAAUAACUUAACUUUUUAAUUAGUUAGUAAACUAUUUUAUUUAGAUAAUUAAUUAAAAAUUAAAUAGAUUAGUCAAAAUAUUAAUGGUUGGUCAAUAUAAAUAUUGGUUAUUAAAUAAAUUGAUUAAAAUAUUAAUUUUUAAUUAGUUAAUUAAUGAUAAAUAAUAAAUUAAUUAAUUACUUUACUAUUUAAGCAAUAGGUAAUGACUUAAAUACAUUAAUUAGAUUAAUUAAUAAAUUAAUAUCAUAAUUAAAAUUAGAUUAGACUUUAAUUAAUCAUGUUUUUACUUAGAACAAACUGUUUUGGAGGGAAGGGUGGGAUGGCUGUUUCAAAAUUAUACCAGAUUAUACCAAUUUAUUUCAGGGUGGGAGAACUGCUGUUUUCGAGAGCCAAAAAUAUCGUUUUGAGACCAAAGCGGGGGGACAAAAGUUUAUCUCCCCUUGUUGCUGAAUCAAACACUACCGGAAGUUACAAGAAUUAGGUGUGAAAUCAAAUGUUAAGAGUUACAGGAAUUGAAUUGACAGAGUGUACGGGACUGAGAAAUGCAAGAUGUAUAGGUAAUGUGAGGAUUUGUAACUUCGCUUGCAACUCCACGGUAAAUGCAUAGGUUAUCAAAAAUAAAAAUAAAAUAUUUCAACAAAAUUUUACUCAUCUAUAUAACUUUUGAAUCGGGGAUCCUAAGAGGGUACGGCAGGGGCCUCCGCGUUUUGCGUGAGCGGGGCGACGCGGGCGGGUCUGGACGGUGCGCGGGCGCGAGGCGCGAGCGGGCGGGCCGGGCGAGCCGGCGCGGCGGGCGAGGCGCUUGGGCGGCGCGCCGAGCGUGCGUGGGGGGCUGGCGCUCGGGCGAGCGCGCGCUGGUGCGAGCGCGGGCGGGCGUUGCGCGCGUGGGCGAGCCGGCAGGGAAAUGGCGAAGUGGCGCGGGGCGGGCUGAGCGCAGCGCGCGUGCGCGGCGCGAGCGGGCGCGGGCAUUUGCACGGCGCGCAGGCUCGGCGCGGGAUGCGGGCCAGCGCGGACGGGCGGCCGGGCUGGCGCUGUCGAGCGGUACUGAGCGCGCAAGCCGGGUUUGGGCGCGAGCGGCGGCGGGCGAGCGCGCGCGCGGACGGGCGGACGCCAGCUUUGGCUCGGAGAGGGGCGAAUGUGCAGCAGCUCGGUCAUGCGAGCCGGCGGUCCUUCCCCAUAACCCCCCUCCAUUACCUCCGUCGCCCUCCAUACCCAUCUCCAUGCUGCCACCUAGACCCCCUCCAUACCCUCUCCCAUGCUUGCAGACCUUAUUUAUUUAUUUUUUUUUAUCGCAUGCCUCCCUCAUCUCUCACCACUCACAUAACAGCGACUCCCACCCUUCCGUUCCUCCCCGUCGCCCUCCCUGCCUCGCCCUAUUGCUGCUAUUGCCGAGCGGCGCAAGCGGGCGGCGCGAGCUCGCGAGGCUUCGUGCUUGCCGCGUAAUUCCGGCAGACUCGAGCGGGUUCGCCGCGGAAUCUGGUCCCCCUACAGCGUUUACCAAGACAAGAGGGGGAGAGCUGCUUAUAACGCUAUUUCCCUAACGUUAAUGCUCCAUUGAGUCUACUUCACGGUACUUUCGGUCGGCACUCAUUACCGUGUUCAUCGCAGCUGUGUUGUCGAUCACCGAGUGCUUGGUUUAAUGCUGCUGAGAAAAUUGUUGUUUAUGGACUAAGUGUAUGGUUUAAUUUAAUGCUGCUGCAGAGAGUAGAGCCAGGAGGCCGCUGCUUAUGGUCAUCGGCGAACCGGAGCUCUGCCUCCAACUUGGUAUUGGCGACGAUCGACCAUCCGGCGAUGCCGACUCCGCCAAAGUUUGCAAGUAUGUGCAUGUGAUUAUAUUCCCAUAGAUUUUGAUCUCUUUAAGGUCAUGCAUGUUGUUUACAUAUUUCUAAUCUUUUUAUGUAGAUAGAUUAUUUGAUGAUGAUACUAAAAUUGAUGUUUUUGUAGGGAUGCGAGAUGUUUUGAAAUGAAAGAGAAGUGCCAGGAGAAGCAGCAACAGCAGCAGAAUAAGCAGAUUACAAUCUUCUACAAGGGGCAGAUUUGCGUCUACGACAUCACAGAGAUUCAAGUUUGUUAAUUUGGUUCCAUUCCAGAUUUUCUACUAUUUUUAAGAGUUUGCAAUAUAUAUAUAUUAUCUAUCUCCAUCGGUUUACAACCUUUAAUUUUCUUUUCUUUUGUCUUUUUUUUUUUUUUUCAUCGGAGUUAACAGGCAGAAGUUGCAAAAAAGAAUUGCGUGAAGCUUGGUUGCCUUCCUGCAAGCAGGGACCUGCAGUGAUGGAAGGAAUGCGUGGGCGGUACUCAUGCAGCCCUCUCCCCUGAGAUUUGCGGCUGCGCCACCGCCACCGCAGUAGCGAUUCGCGGAGAAGCGGGCUUCGGGAAUGGGCGGUGGGCAAAAGCGCGGCCGCACGCAGCGGCGGCACUUCAAGCAGAGCCGUGAGAACGUGUGGAAGCUCAACCCCAAGAAGACCCGCCCCGACGCUGACAAACCCGACGCCGACGCCAAAGCCAACGCCAACCCCAAGUGGGAGCCCUUCACCACCCAAAACCCCGGCUUCAACGAGCACUACAAGGUGCUUCUCCUCUCCGCACUUCCACGAGAUCGAUUCUUGGUUUGGCGUGGAUUUGUUUUGAUGAUUGGGAUCUUAUACGUGGUGCGUAGUUUGUUUCGUUUUAAUUGCGAUUUCUUGGAGGAAAAGGUGAAUUUUUUGGAUCAUUCUUUGGUGCCAUCCCAAUGGGGAAUCCCUUUCUCCCUUUUUUUGAUCUGUGAAUUCAUGUUUAUGCUUGCGCUCUAUGAUGUAUAACACAAAUUGUACCUUAGGCUUGACAUAUUUACGUGCUUUAUUUUUUUUUUCUCAAAAUUAUUAUGUAAACUUCAAACAAUCUGAUCUUGCCCCUCAUUCUUAAGCACCUCUUUUCUUUUGUGUAGGUUCGGACUGUUGAAACUUAUUGUGGGUCGUUAGCCAAUAUGGCAUGAAGCACAUGCGAUCCCUCGCAAAUAUCUGCAAUGCAGGUGUUAGAAAAGAGAGCAUGGCCGAGGGUUCUUCAAGCUUGCAUGAGGAUCCCCUCCAACUCUUGGAGUUCUCUGCAGAGAGGUUUCAGCGCUUGAAGCAUACAUCAAAGCAACUUUGGUCAGAGUAAUAAAUUUGUGACUUAAUGUUAUAAUUGCUUAGCUUUGUUAUGUUGCACUGUGUAUAUAAUCUCUGAAUAGCCUUGAAAAACAUCUAUUUGGUUAACAUGGCCAUUUCUUGCUGUUCGUCACUUCUUCACUGGAUAUUGUAGCAUGAUCUAUUUUAUAAUGUAUAGCAUAGUAUUUUACACAGCUAAGCAAAAUUUCUAAAUGAAGAAAACCUUAGUCAGGACUUCAGAAAAAAAAAUGGACAACUUAGAAGAGCUAUAGCGCAAAAUUUGGAGCAAUCACUAACCAGCACCACUGGGUGUAUUAAGCAUUUAUUAUUCGAAACUGCUCAAUGAAAAUAACGAAGGUUACCCAUAGUGUUCUGUUCUGUUUUGGGACCUUUUCGCUUUGAGUUUGAUUUUAUUGCUGUGUAUAAGCUUAUGCUUUUUGCUCCGGUUGGGGAUCCUAAGAGGGGUACUGGGCAGUGGGCCUCCGUGUUUUGUGUUGGGGGGGGGGGGUGGCGCGAAAGGCAACUGCGCGCGAAAGCGACGCAGGGCCGAGCAAGAGGCUGCGGGCAGGGGCCGGGCGCAGCGGCGCGCGUGCGCGGGGCAAGGGCGCGGGCUCAGGCGAGCAUGCGGCCGUCGCUCGUGCGGCGCUGAGCGGGCUGGGCGCACGGCGAGCGGUGCGAUGCCAGCCGCCGCGCGGGCGGCGAGCCGUGCGUGCGGGUUUUUUUUUUUUCCCUUUUUCUUUCUUUUUUCGCUGUCAGACCCACUCCGGACUCUCUCUUUUUUAUUUUAUUUAUUGUCCUGUUCUCCGUUUACAAACACGUUGAUCAAAUUCAAAUUUAAAUCCUGUGCACGCGCAGGCGAACGGGCUGCGCGGCUAGCGGACACGGGGCGAGCAGGAGCAUAUGCGUUCUUUGAGUGACGCGGUGCGACAGUGGGGGGGGGGCCGCGGGGUGCGCAACCCUGCAUGCGAUGCGAGCGGCAGUGUUUGUGAGGCUGCAUACAGAAAAUUUAUUAAAUUUUAAAGUUAAAUUGUUGUCUUGAAUGUUGCUUAUUGUGGCUAUCUUAAAAGGCUGUUUUUUUUUUGCUAGGUAUUUGUGCGUGUGGCCGCGACUGUUUCUCAUGAGCGCGCGGAGUUACGGAGACGGGCGGGCGAGCAGGAGCGGGUCCAUUCUUUGGCGAAGUCGCUGGACAGGCGAGCGGCGAGCAGCGCGGCGCGGUCACGUGCGCAGGUAUAUAUAUAUAUUAGUAUAUAUUGUGCUUUUAUUUGAUUUCUUUAAAAGUCAUUUAUUUCUUUUUGCCGUUGGGUGGCAUACAGAAAAUAAAAAAAAAUUAUCAUUUAAUUUUUAAUUUACAUUUUAGAUCUGCGCGGGGGGUAGUGAGCGGAGACGGCGUGGGCGAGCCGGAAGCGGGUGGGGUGCUUGUGACGGUGCCGGUAAGGGCGCAAGCGAGCCGCCGGCCGGCGUGGCACGCCCCGUCGCAGGUAUAUAUAUAUAUUAUUAUAUAUUUAUAUAUAUAUACCUAUUAGGGAGAACAGUGGCAUUUCUUCUUAAACACCAGAUUCAUCUCUUUUACUUUAAAAUGUUCUUAUUUAUUUUUAAAUAUAAGUAAAUAUAAUAGAUAUAUAUUUUAUGGUAUAUAUACAAAUAUAUUUAUACAUUUGUUUUCCUGCUCCCUACUGUUUUUGAUAUUAUGUGUAUACUUUAUUGGAUGUCGCUUUUUUUGCUACCUUGGGUUUAUUAAUUAUCUAGGAAUUAAUAUAUAUGGAUUUAGAUUUAUUUUUUCAUUAUUGGCAAAAUAAUCUGUUGGCUACUUUGCACCUGCUCUGUUAGUCCAUCGGGUUAUAGAAACUGAAGCAGUUUCGGUAUUGUUUUGCUUAGUCAGUACUCGCAAGUCUUGGAUUAGUCUGUAGAAAAAGCUUCUGCAGUUACAUAGUAUUCUGGUUUUGUUCUCCAAGAGAAUUUUUUGGAGAAUUUUUUUUUUUUUUACUUUUGCUGUAGUUUUAUGUGUUGGCCGACAAAAAAGGCCUUAUGACUUUAUUUACUAUGUUUUCUUUUCGGACAUUGCUUGAUUUGUAGGGUUUAACAUUGCGUGACUUACUAUGUAUGCUGGUCUUUUGCCUGUGAUACAUAAUAAAAACAAAAAAUAUAUUAAUAGUUAUAAUAAUUUACUGUUUUAUUUUCUUCCCGCCGCAUCGCGCGGGGCCCGUACCUAGUUUUAUUAUUAAAGGACGGAAUAUGUGAAAGUUUAAUGACCAAAAAAGAACCGUUAUAUAUAAAAAAAAUAUGUUCUUUAUUGAAUCUUCACUUAGUGAAAUAAUAAUUUCUAUUUUAGAGCCAGAGUGACUUCAUAUUUGAAUUUUUGCUACUUAAGAAAAAUAAAGUCUUACUGCUUAUAGAUAAUAAUUCAAGUAUCAAGGCGAGGUUUACUGGUUAGUACGUUAUGGCCUUAAGGGUGCGUUUGGUUCGCGCUAUAUUCCUAGUAAUUCAAUAGGAAUAAAAAAAUAUGACGGUGUUUGGCUAAACGCACUAAGUAAUCUAGUUGGUAAUAUUAGAUUUACUUGGGAAUGAGAUUUAUCCCAAAGUACUAAUCUCAUUCCCUUAAUGGAGGGUAGGUAUUCUCAUAUUAAUGAAUUGGGGUAAUCAUAAUAUGUCUAAUCUCUUUCUUUCUCCUUACCCGCGGCUAGUUGGUAUUAUUUUUCUUUACAUUCUAACUUCAUAUCUCUCUCUAAACUUAUUUUUUUUUCUCUAAACUUCAACUCUCUUUCUCUUUCUAAACUAAGCUCUCUCUUCCCCUCUUUUUCUAAAAUCUCGACUCUCUCACUCCCUCUAAUCUCGACUCUAUUUCUCUUCCUAUUUCUUUAAUUAUGCUCUCUCUCUCUAACCUAUAUUCUCUCUCUCUCUCUUUUUCUAAAAAGAUAUUAAAAUUUUUGAUGGCAUUAUUUUAAAUUAAUUAAAAAAAAUAAAUAAAUAAAUUGUAUAUUUUUUGUAAAUUUAAAUAACAUGACUAAAUAAUAUAACCGUGCGAAUCAAAUACAGGAAUGCCACAUUCUUAGUAAUAGGAUGAAUAGAAAUAAGAUUCUCGAACAUCUUUUUAUUGCUAGUAAUCUUUCAUAGUGCGAACCAAACGCACCCUAAUAGUAUUCUUAUAGCCGAGAAUCUUUCCAAGAGAGGCUGGCUGUAACAAUUUGAGGGGCCAUUUGGUUGAACAAAGUUGUAAAUUCAAAAGAGGUGCGUGAAACGGUUCACUAGGAUCUCACGAAGAGAGUACGCAGAUUGCUUGAUCGGUGGCUUAUGGUGGAAUAUCUGAAAGGAAUGUAAUUGUUGCAGGAUUUGUUUAAAGGAGUCCAACUGACUGAUGAGGAGAUGGUGAGAGAAAAUUAAAAUCGAUUUGCCUGAGCAUCUCUGUACGACUCUCAGCCUCCCUACCUCUUUUUUUUUUUAAUUUUUUAGAGAGAAAGAUAGUAUGCUAUUCAUUUCAACUAUUUUUUUUUAAAAGUAAACUUAGCUGAAAACGUGAAUCAACUAGAAUUCGAAUUACCGACUGUCUCUAUAGCAAGUGGCAAAGAGUUUGGUAGUUAGUAUCCAAGAUCCUAAAUUCGAAUCCUAGUUGAUUCAUAUUUCUAGCUAAAUUUAUUUUUAAACAAAAUAAACGAAGCAUGUAGCAUGCUACCCAUCUCUCAAAAAAAAAAAAAAAAACUAGAAUUCGAACUUAGGAUCUCGGAUACCAACUACCAAAUUUUUUGCCACUUGCGCUAGGAACGGUGAGUGCCUCCCUACCUCCUUAUAUAUACUACAAACAUUCUUAAUUCGUUAUAACUUUGUAAUUUUUGUAAACCGAUAUAAAUGAAAAAAAAAAAAACUUCAGUAGAGAGUUCCGUAACGGUACUUCGUUGAGGAAUCUUUAUUUAUUGUCAUGUGUUAGUUUUAUUUUUCAUCCGAGAAUUAUAAUCCUUCUUUAUAGAAUUUUAAAUUUUUUUAAAAAUUUUAGUAUUAAAAAAAACUCAACGAAUUUUUGAAUGAAAGCAAAACUACAACAUGAGAUGAGAAAGUAUCUUAUUAGCAUCUAUAUCUAUAACAUACAUGAAUUCUCAGUUUUGGAACAGGUGGCGAGCGUGGAGGCGCGGGCAGAGGCGAGCGCGGGGCGCGGGCAGGCGGGCGCGCGUGGCGGGGCGCCGCGUGGNNNNNNNNNNNNNNNNNNNNNNNNNNNNNNNNNNNNNNNNNNNNNNNNNNNNNNNNNNNNNNNNNNNNNNNNNNNNNNNNNNNNNNNNNNNNNNNNNNNNNNNNNNNNNNNNNNNNNNNNNNNNNNNNNNNNNNNNNNNNNNNNNNNNNNNNNNNNNNNNNNNNNNNNNNNNNNNNNNNNNNNNNNNNNNNNNNNNNNNNNNNNNNNNNNNNNNNNNNNNNNNNNNNNNNNNNNNNNNNNNNNNNNNNNNNNNNNNNNNNNNNNNNNNNNNNNNNNNNNNNNNNNNNNNNNNNNNNNNNNNNNNNNNNNNNNNNNNNNNNNNNNNNNNNNNNNNNNNNNNNNNNNNNNNNNNNNNNNNNNNNNNNNNNNNNNNNNNNNNNNNNNNNNNNNNNNNNNNNNNNNNNNNNNNNNNNNNNNNNNNNNNNNNNNNNNNNNNNNNNNNNNNNNNNNNNNNNNNNNNNNNNNNNNNNNNNNNNNNNNNNNNNNNNNNNNNNNNNNNNNNNNNNNNNNNNNNNNNNNNNNNNNNNNNNNNNNNNNNNNNNNNNNNNNNNNNNNNNNNNNNNNNNNNNNNNNNNNNNNNNNNNNNNNNNNNNNNNNNNNNNNNNNNNNNNNNNNNNNNNNNNNNNNNNNNNNNNNNNNNNNNNNNNNNNNNNNNNNNAUAAUUAUAAUAAUAAUUAUAAUAUAUAUAAUUAUAAAUAUAAUUAUAUAUAAUUUUUUAUUAGUAUGAUUUUUGUCUUUAUUUUUUUUAAUCUUUCUUAUAAUUUUAUUACAGCAAUAGUUGUUUAUUUUUUAGUUAUUUUUUUAUACAAUUUUUUGACUCUUUUUUUUUACUAUUAUUUAUUUUAUUUAUAUAUUUAUUUCUGCAGAAUCGUUCUGCAGCAACACGUCGGUCCUUUACUAGUUUUUCAAUAAGAUGUCGUAAGUCAUUAGAGAGCUCCCUGCAAUGGAAGCGUUAUUAAACUUGUUUUCUAGAGAUUGCUUAAUGAUAUAAGUAUUAAUUGCUUAAUGAUGGAAGUAUUAUUUGUCGGUGACUCAGCGUGCUUGAAGGUGUGUUGUCAGUUAAAAGUUAUUAUCAAUUUUAACUUGCACACCUUAUUUAGUGUCUUUAUUUACUCAGACGUUCAAACCAGAAAAGUGAAUCAUUAAACAAGUUGUACAUUAAGAUCAAAGAAACCAAAAAAAAAAAAACAAAACAAAACAAAAGAAAAAACAAAAUAAACAAAAUCAGGACAACAAUUUAAUUUCUUUUUUCUUUUAAUUUUCCAUCAUUUUUAUUUCCAUCAUUUUAUUUCAAGGGCAAGCAAAGCACGUAUGAAAAGAAACAAAUUAAAGCUAAGUCUUAGGUAAUGUUGGAAUGAAGCUUGUCAUUUCCGAGGAUAGAUGGUGAAGAUGGUUUGGAGAAUAGUGAUGAGGAAGAGAACGACUGAGGUAGCGGCCAAAAGGAAGUUGAAGUUGUUGUAGACGAUCUUGUGAAUAAAGACCCUCACCUUUCUGCGUCUGUGGUAGUCGUUAAGGUGCUGAAGCAGAGACAUGUAGUCAUUGCCGGUCAUGAGGUAAGGGGAGAGGGACUUGAAGAAGCUGAGAGACUGUUGGUCGCUGAGACCGCCGUAUAGUAUCUUCUUUGAUCUCAGCUCCUUGACGUCCUCCUCCCGGCUAAUGAGGGCGACGAGCAGAGAGAGGUAGGAGCCUACCGAGCUCUCAGACGCAACACCGGGGCACAUCUCGAACGCCACCAAAUUGCUGAGGACGAUCCUGUUGUACGUGGUGAGCACGAUUGGUGGGAGGGAUAGCCACCCGUAGAGCGGGCCCCUACGGAAGCUGAAGUUGCGGAACCGGAACGUAUCGCUAGCACAAAUUCGAACCCCGACUUCUGCGAGGUCGAUGGCGGAGGUGAAGAUCGAGAUAUGCGUCACAAUAUCGUCGCCUCGCUGGACCUGGGGGCCUAGGAAUUUCUCACGCACGAGCUCUAGGAGGUGGCAGGGACUGCGGUCGUUGUCGCGGUGGCUGCCGCCCUCAUCGUAUGGAGGCAGCAACCCCGCCGUCAUAUCAAUCUUAGCAACAAUUUUUUGGAGAAACAGAUCGAUAGGUACCCAUCGGAAACUCAUAAGGGCCUCUAGAACCACCCACGGAAGCUGGUUCUCGAGCAACAUGACGUCCCUAAAGACUCGAUCUAGGUUGAAAGAGCUCAUCCACCUUUCGACGGAUAAAGAUGCCGGGAUGUACCCGGUUGCCGUCACAAUGAACUGCAGCAGAAAGCAGCCAUCGAAGAACAUCAUGUCCGCGAAUUCCUUGUCGCUGAUGUCGUCGAAUCGGUCCGCAUAGCACAACCGAGCCAGAGGAGUCACAUCACGAACCACUUUGUAGAACUCUCGGACGGAGCGCCGUGAGCUCUUGCAGAAGUCGAGGGCGACCGCCUUCUUGAUUGCCUCUGCCGGCUGCACUUGCGGGUCGUGUCGGUGGUACGGCCCGAUCGCCACUACCUCGGGGUUGAAGUACUGGUCGCCCUUCUCGAUACUUCGAAGAAGGUAAUGGACCCUCCGUAUGAUGGGCCUCGUUCUGUCUGGCCAUUGUUGCGCUGUGGACUGGAUCUCCGUCAUCGCCGAAACAAGCGCUUCGGAUUCAUCCAUGGCUUCCACGUUCAUGCCGCUCCGCGCACAACUGCUGCUCCUUCAGCAAUCGCCUCUCGUGUUUCGGCCCCUCCUUAAGAAGAAGGACCGGCCAAGCUCCUUCGCCGUCUCUCGUAUCGUUUGCUUUUACCACCACUUCUCCGCAAGGCAACUCGAUUCCAUUACCACGUCGCAAGGCAACUCCAUUCGAUGGUCUUUGGUUUUUUCUGUCGGAAAGCUUUAAAACAACUAUAUAUUUCACCAGCUUUUUUUUUUCUUUCUUUUUCCCUUUGUUUGAAGAGGAAUGCUGCUUGCACUCUAGUAGUGAAAAGAUCAGAAAGAAGUUGAACAACCCUGUGUGAUCUCCGAAGACCGAAGAAUUUCUCUUUUUGGCUAAAUUUCACGGCUUGUCCUCAUAAUGCUCAUGAUAUAUAUAUAUUUUAGUUUUUUAGAUUAUAAUUUAUCAUAAUUUUUUAUUCAAAUUUUAUAAAUUAUUGUAAUUAAGUCUCAUAGUCCGUCCUAUUGAGUAAGCCGGAGACUGAUUCAUCGCCAAUUUGGUAACACUAUAUAUAUAUAUAUAUAUAUAUAUAAAAUUAGGCUGGAAUACUUCUAAUAGCACUAAGUUGUUGGUGCUAUUAGAUUUUCGGUCUUUGGACGAAGGGACGUGCGGUUAGAGUAAUAAUGAUUUUCGAGUUGAAUUGAUGGUUGGUUGAAUAGUAUAAUUUAACAGGUGAAAAUUAUCAAAAGGAUAAAUCUAGCAGCGAAAGAUUCGAUAGCACCAAAUAAUAUAGUAGUUAAACUCUCUCUCUUUAUAUAUACUAGUGAAGACCCGCGCUUCGCGGCGGAAAAUUUAUGCAAUUUUUAAAAUAUUUUGAACAAUUUUUUUUUAUUUUUUUAAUUUCCAAAUUUAAUUUUAAAUUUUAAACUUCGAAAAAAUGAAGAGAGAGAAAAAGUAAAAAAAAUUAUUUAAGUAGAGAGGGACAAAAAAAAUUUGAAGUUUGAAGCACGAUUUAUUAUAUGUAUUAUUAAUAAAUUAAUUAAUUAUAUAUUAUAUAACAUUAUUAAUAAAUUUAAUUAAUUAAUUAAAUUUAUAGAGUUUAGAAAUUAAAAAUUUUNUAUAUAACAUUAUUAAUAAAUUUAAUUAAUUAAUUACUUUUAUAGAGUUUAGAGAUUAAAAAUUUUAAACUUUGAAGUUUAAAAUUGAAAUAAAUAUUAUAUGUUAAUAUUUGAAUUUAAAAUUUAAACAUAAAAUAUAAAAUCUAAAAAAUUAAAAUUUUAAAAGUCUCUCUCUCUCCCUCUCUCUCUCUCUUUCUCCCCCUAGCUCUCUCUCUUUCUCGCUCUUUCUCUCUCGCCCAGCGUCUCUCUCUCUCUCUUUCUCUCUCUCUUCCCCUCUCUCCCUCAGUCCCUCCUCCCCCCGGUGCUCGCGCCGCGGCCGCGGCCGCGGAGAGGGGGAGAGAGAGUCCCUAAAUCCUAAACCCUAAACCCUUCGUAGCGGGUAAAUAAUAUUUAAAUUAAUUAACAUAUAUAAGUAUUACAAUUUUAAAAUUAAAAAAUUAUAACUAACUAAAAAUAUUAUAAAAUAAAUUUUAAAUAGUUACAUUAUUCUAACAACUUAAUAUAAAUUUAUAUUUGAUUUAUAAUUUAGAUUCGGUGUACGAUAUAGUUAAAACAGAAGUAUAGGACCCCAAUCGGGCCUUUCUAAAGUGUAGCAUAAUCAUUAAAAUUAAAAUUUCUAAUUAUAUUCGUAUGAAAUGUUACUAUAUUAUGCAAAUAACACUGUGUAGUCAGUAGUCUGAUGGUCAUAUAAUUUUUUAUAGAACACAGAGUCAUCGUAAUUAAUAUCUUUGAUCUGCAAAUCACAUUCAUCUUUCAGUCUCUUAAGAGCAAUACGUGCGGCAUCUUGUUCAGCCGCAGCUGAUGUAGGAAAUUGGGUGCUCAAACAUCGAACAGUUUCAACUAUAAUUUCACUCUGAGAAAUUUGCAAAUCUAUAUAGCCCACAAACCUCCCCUCGGUGUCCACGCUUAGUACACAUCGUGGCACUUGUAACUGGAGCUGCUCAUAAAUGAACUGCAAAAGGAGGAAGCAGAGAAAUUUUAAUUUUAUGGUUAGAAAUUCUAUGUUGAUCAGAAAGAAACAAUUCAUAGCAAAGAGAACUACUAACCUGAAACCCUACCAAGAAGGAAACGUCCAGAUCUUGUAAAUGUGAGCGUCGAUUCCUGGGGAUAAAACAAUAAGAUUAGUAUUAUUAUUAUAUAAUAUAAGAAAGAAAGAUUUGAUCUGAAUACCUAAAUUUCUUACCGUUCAAAUUUUGGGAUAAUAGCAUAAGAUGCUAGUUUCGAUCUGAGGCAUGGAUGAAUUUUAUAGGCAAAAAUGUAGCAGCGAGGAGGGUAGAAGAAUCGACCAGGGUAGAGGACAGGAUCCAUCUGAAACGGUGGUAGAUUUUAUGAGCACGAUCCCGUCGAUCCCGUCUGAAACGAAAAUAGGAGACGGAUGCUGCGACGUAGAGAAGAGAAGAAACGAUUUGCUGUAACCGACAGGAAAAGAAGCAAGGUCGCGCGGUGGGGGAGCGAUUUACUGUAACGGAUAUGAGAAGAACAUGAGAAAAAGCAAGGUCGUGAGGAGGCGGGGCGAUUUGCGGUUUCGUGCGGAGAAGAAGAAAGGAUCGCGUGUAUUGGUUUGGUUUUAUUUAGAAGUUUAGAUAGUGAACGGUUCGGUUUGCUUCGCUUCGGUUCAGAGAGAAGCAGUUCAAUGGUUCGGUUCAGAUGUUUAGAGACAACGGUUCGAUUCGGUUGGUUCGUUUCGGUUCGGUUCAGAGGUUUAGAGAGAUGCAGUUCAAUGGUUCGGUUUUCAUACACAAAAUUAGAGAGGCAGAUCAUUGGUUCAGUUCGGUCUAAAAGAAAUGGUUUGGUUCAAAGUGGGUUAUUAUUAUUAUUUAUCUAUUAAUUAUCUAUUAACCUAAGAAUGAAGGGUUUCUUGCCACGUGACAAGAAACAUUGUGGAUUCAUUUAGGUUUAUAGAUACUCUUUAUUACUCUAACGGCUUAAUGUGUUAUACCCUUUAUUACUCUAUCUGAUUACUGCAGUCAUAAUUACAACCAAUCUACGCGUAGUGACAACUCUUGCUGUUGAAUUUUCUCGUAUAGUUUCAACUAUAGUAAUUAAAUUCAAAUACAUCAAAUCAAACACUGUAUCUAUAUUGUAUUUAGUUACAAUAACAGUGCAAUUACAACUAUAUACAACCAAAUAGUCUUUACACCAAGAUGAACAUCAGACUCGGCCCAGACUCCAAAUGGGCCAAAGCCUAAAACACGGACAAGAGAAUGGGCCAAAAGUCCCAUAAAAAAUGAAACCGAAAGGUUAGAGACUUUUGAGAGGAUGUUGAUAUGCUUAUUCAUCUGAUAUUUUAUAAAGAACUCGGUAGCAAAGCCCCACAAAAGCCGACUUUGAUUAUUACUCUGCAAAAUGAAUUCGGCGGGCGACGGAGCCCCUAAACUGCCCGAUUUCUAUUGUAGUCGGCAACGAGGAGCCUCCGCACGCCGACUACAAGAGAUCGAUAUGUGUAAAUGCGAAAAAAAAAAAAAGGGAGUGAGAAUAUCAGUUCUCGGUCAAACGGUCAGCAUUUUGGCGCCUCCUUUCGGAAAGCGCUCGCUCGCUGCCACGUCAUAGGGGCGGUGCAAAAAGCCAAAACCAACCGCCAAGGCUUACGUACAUCUCACACUAGACCCGGUCUAUACACCCAACCACUCUAUUAACCUCCAUUGUUUGAGAGAUGUCUUUUUUUGGAAUAAUUACCUACACAUCUCUCAAAAUUUCUGAAAUAUUUUAUAAUAUUUUAUUUUUUUAUUUAAAAUAUACAUUUUAUAUAUUUUUUCGUUAUUAAAAAAUAACUCCGCUGUUAGUAUCCGUUAAAUCAUCUUCGAUUAAACCAGUAUUAAAUUUUUACCGGAGUUAAAAAAUGUCAAAAUUCUCUUUUUGUCUGUAACUUAAUGAUAAAUAAGAAAAGUUAGUAACAACAGAAGGAUAUAUUUGAAAGGGCGAAAAUUCAAACUGUUUUUUUUUGCCCCUAACUUAAGGGCAAAUAAAAAAAAAUUAGUAACGGUAGAAAGGGGAUAUUUAAAAAGGCAAAAUAGUAAUUUUAUAAAAAUAAUGUUUAUUUCCGACGUUCACUAAUAAAAUUUUACUCUAGAGAGAUAUAUGAAAAAAUUUAGAUCUCUAGAAGAAUAUUUUUUAUAUUAGCCUUCUAAGCGAGGGAAAUAAAAAUGUCUGAAAUCUUUUAGAGGUAUUUAAAUAAUUAUCCUUUUUUUAGCCCUUGUGUAGUUCAAAUUGCAUUAGAUAAUUUAAAUAUAAUUUUUUCUGAUUAAUUUUAUCUUACAUCAUGUGAGAUAAUAUAUUAAGAUAUUUUUAUAUAACAUAGACUCUUUUUUUUAUCUUACACCUUGUUUUCUAUUGCAGUGUUUUAUAUAUUUUCACAUAAUAGAAAUAAAAAAUUUUAAAUUUUACUAAAAUUAUACUAAUAAUAUUAUUAUAAAAUUUUUUAAUUUGUUAAAAUUUUUAGCUACGGCUAAAAUUUAGUAUGAAAUAGAAAAAGAAUAGAGUGUCUGAGAUCUAAUGAUAGUGAUGAAUUUGUCAUUUGUGUGAUUUGUUCAUGAUGACGUGGCACACCCGGUUCAUGAGAAUAGUUAUUACAGCUAAAGGGCAAAUUAUAGACCGAAAGAAACCACGCUUUUUUUAUUCAAUUCCUUCGAUCUCCUCCUCACUCUUCUUCUUCUUCUUCUUCCUCUCCCCUUUCCUUUUCUCCCUCUUCGCCUCAUCUCUCUCGAUUCAGCCCUAGCAAUGGCGAACGACGCCAUCCCCUCCUCCUCCUCGUCGUCGGAGGCCGCGGCGGAAGAGGAGGAGAAGAAGAAGAAGAGGCGUAGUGGCCGCGGAGGCGGCGGCGGAGGAGUGGUGUCGCGCGUGUGGAAGGGGAUCUUCGGAGCGGGACAUGACUUGGAGAAGGAGCUUCGGCGCCUCUCCGUGGCGGAGGCCUCCGCCCACGCGCGGAUCAAGCGAAGGGCCCAAGCCACGCGCGCGAUGAGGACGAACCUCGUCGUCGUAUCGAUCGCUCUUGAGGUUUUGCGAUUUGAUUUGAUUUUAGCCGAAUUAGUUUUAAUUAGGUCGCUGGAAUUUAUCAAGUUGAUUUCGAAUUUAGGGUUUGAUGAGGUAGCAAGGUUGUCACUAUGUAUUGAAAUGAGCUUAAUAUUUGGUAGUUGUUUGAUAUUCUCAAAUCAUAUUACGUUUGAUUGCAAUAAUUCAGGUAGUUUGAAUCACAAACUUCAAUAAUUAAAGUUUUGAUGAUCAAAUAUCAGCAACCUUGUAGUUCGAGGACUAUUCGUCAAAUUUGGCCUAUGAUUUAUGUGUGCAAAUGGAGCAAUAUUGCUCGUUUAGUUUUACUUUUUUGUUUGUAGAAACAUGAUUUUUGAUGUUUAUAAUGGUUGCACAGAAUUGCGCCAAGUGAUUGAAAAAUCUGGUAUGAAGCUGUUCGUCCAAUUUAGCCUAUGAUUUAUAUGAGCAAAUGGAGUGAUCUUGCUUGUUUAAUUUUAUAUUAGUUUGUAGAAACAUGAUUUUUAUUGUUUAUAGUGGUUUCACGGCAUUGCGCCAAGUGAUUGAAAAAUCCGAUAUGAUGAUGUACUUCAACACAAUAUAUAUUAGAUUCCGUAUACGUCACAAAUAUAUCUUUCACCAGUUGUGUACUUCUAUAUCUUCUAUAAAAGUUCCUAGUGGUUCUGCAAGUGUUUGUUGCUUCAUUAUUGCUAAAACCUUCCAAAAAAUGAUUUAGUGUUCUUGGUCAUUUUCUACUAGAUCAUUUUUUUUUUGGUAGCAUGGUAUCAGAGCUAGCCCAAACCCCCCUCCAUUCCAAGAGGUCCUUAGUUUGAUUCUUUUAUCCGCCACUUUAUGGCAUCAAUUUCCGUCCUUUAUUCCUUUGUAUUUUCCAUUAUCUCAGACCUUUUGGCAUGGUUCGUUUGAUAUUCACCAUGCAUGCGAGUGGGCAGUGUUAAGACAAAUUCUAGGCCAUUUCCUAGUUGGUCAAUUUUUUUGUUAACACCUAUCAGAUAUUUCUCUCGGUCAAGACUCAGGGUUAUAUACUCGUUAGAAAAGCCUUGAUAAUUUCUUAGGAUAGUUGCUUUUUGAACUGAUUUCUAAUUGUUGUUGAUUUGUUUCACAGGGUUUGGCUGUUGCAUAUGCUAUCAUGACGACAAGAUCAUUGGAUUUGAACUGGCAGAUGAGGGCAGUUAGAGUGAUGCCUUUGUUUGUGCUUCCUGUUUUAGCUGUUGUCAUCUACUCGACACUUGGGAGCGUCAGAAGAAUGUGUAAAUAUCAUGGACUCUUUUCCUUUUAAAUUUUUUUUAUAACCCAGUUCUCAGUUUCUAUAAAUUUGCUGAUUGAGCUUUUGAUCUAUUAGUCUCUCUUUAUAGACGUUUAUUUGACUGUUCUUUCAUAUUUGAUUGGUCCAUUGAAUUUUUUUUAAUUAAAUAGAUAUUUAAAUGGAAAAAAAGAAGGCGGCCGUGGAGUAUAGAAGAAGUGAUCCUGGGUUGUACUCAGCUUUCAUCCCUAUUCAAUUAUGUUUUUGAUGGGAAUAUGGGACUUAUUAGGUGUAUCAGCAUUUUUCCAGCUACAAAUAAGGGGGUAUCAUGUUAAUGAAGUUCAUAGUUUUGUCUGGAGAAGGGAAAAAAAGAAAAUAAUGUGAUGGUGGGGAAUCCUUUCGCCACUAAUACAAAAAAGCACAUAUAAGAUGAACUGCCUCAAAAUUGAUUCUCUGAAUCUUUGAUGUUUUUCUUACAUGGUUGACCAUGAGCUUUUUAAAUUCCUUUUAGACACCUAAUGUGGGAGAAACUUUUAGUGAGAUUUGGGAAAAACAUUAUCCUGUUUAUAACCUGUCCUUCUUUUCUUCAGUGGAUAGCAAGGACCAGAAAGCGCUUGAGAGGCUCCGUGAAGAAAGGCAAGCGAAGAUAACUGAGCUGAAGGAGAGGACAAAUUACUACACUACACAACAGCUUAUUCAGGUAGGUUUUUCAUCUUUCUAUCCUUCAUCUAUAUAUCUACUAUUGGCACUUGAUCUUGGGCAAAAAAAAUGCAUUGAUAUCACUCUCUGUAGAGUUACAUGCCUAAGUGGUUCCUGUAUGGUCUACUCUUGUGUACCUGUCAAUUUAAUCACUGAGCACUUCUUUUAGUCAAUCAGGUCACUGAAGUCUCGACUAUUUGUGAAAUUCAUUAUUCCAAGUGAAUUAAAAGAACUUGUACUACCGCUUGGUCCAUAUACAUAUCAGUAAUACUCUUGAUUCCAUCCGUUUUUUAAGAAUCUCAGCAAGUGUUUAACCGUCCAUGUCUGCAAAGUCGAUGAUGUACACUUAUAAGAUGACGCUGGGAAUAUACCUAUUUUUUCCUCCUUUUUUUCUCUCUCCAAGAACGAGGUAUGGUUUAGUACAAUUUAUCACGAUCCUAUCAUAAUAACUCUUUUGGUAUCUAAAAGAGUUUAGGGUUCAAAUCUAUUUCUUUAUAUCUGUAACAUUGGAGGGAUAACUAAUAAUUUAACUUCUGAAGUUAGUUUAUUUAUCAUCAAGGAUGGUAUUAGUAAUUUAGCAAAGCUUUGAUUAGCGAAUUUUCAUCGAAAUGGACAUAGCACGAUAUUCAUGUAUCAGUGAAAGUAGAGUGACUAACUUUUAAUUUUUAUUCUCUGUAUAUGUUACUGAUUCUUUAUAACGAUUAACGCAGAGAUACGACCUUGAUCCUGCUGCCAAGGCCGCAGCAGCAACUGUUCUGGCAUCUAAACUUGGAGCAGAUUCUGGGUUGAAAUUUUAUGUUGGAGAUGAAUCAAAUACCAGUCCCUCAUUGGGAGUUAGCAAUGAUGUUAACCCGGCGCAACCUACUCAGCUCCGACACAGAAAACCAGCUUCUGGCAAAAGUGCUGCCGCAGUAAGCAGCCAAGAAGCUCACUUCUUUGAUGAUUCCUUAAAUGAGUACGACGAAAAUGCCGGGGAAAUUGCUUCUCCAAAUCAGAGUUUUGUUGGACAUAAUAAAGGUUCAGCUGGUAGUGACGGGGGAUGGCUCGCUCGAAUUGCGGCUUUGCUUGUAGGAGAAGAUCCGACACAGUGCUAUGCGCUGAUCUGCAGCAACUGCCAUAUGCAUAAUGGUAAGUGAUGUCUUUCGAAGUUGUUAUCAUGUCAAAUUACCUUUUUAUCCCUUUCCGCUCUAAAUGUGCUCGCCCUCGUGUUUAACCUCGAUCACAAGCAACAAAAUGCAAGAACUGACUCAACUGGCUAACUUAAUGUGCAGGAUUUGCGAGGAAAGAGGAUUUUCUAUUUAUAACAUAUUAUUGCCCUCAUUGCCACGCAUUAAACGGGUCUCGACAGCAAGCGGAAAACGAAAUGAUUUUGAAUUCUGAGAGGGAAACUCCGAUUUCUCAAGCUGAUGGUAAUGAUGCGUUCAACGACGCGAGCAAUUCGAGCUCGAUCACCGGCAGUCCAUUUGCAAACACUCCAACAGCUGCCAAAGAAAUGCCUCAAGGAGACAACGGCGACGAGGAAGGAAAUGAUGUUCAUACUAAUUAGGAAUUUGCAUUCAGUAUUAUAUGUAAUGCUUUUACAAUGAGAUAGCUUCUGUUGAAGGGAAAAUUCGUUUGUUUGUCGAUGAUUCCGCAUAAAGAGAGGAAAGGAGCAUGUUGUGUAAAAUAAUUACUAAUUCUUUUUGAGAGUUAUGGUAAUUUUUGGCCAUUUUGUUAUAUACUGUGAGGAGUGGAAGGUACCAUAAUGGGGUUUUUGGGCGACUACACUUAUAGAAUUUUUUUUAAUUCUAAAAAUAUAUAUGUAUCCAACAUUUUUAUUUGUAAAUUAUGUUGCACUAUUUUACAACACAUUGUACUGUUUGAUAAGUUAUUGUGAAGUGCUCUCAAGUAAUUACGUAAUAAAUUUUCAAGUGAUGUAACGUAUUUUUUAAUUGUUCAGCAACUAAUCACAUAGUAUUAUAUUUUUUAACUAAUGGUUUAAUAUUUUUAUUUCUUUGAAUGGAGAAAAAAAAUUUGUAGAGAGAGCAUGACAAAACAAUAAAGAAAAAGAAAUAACAGUGCAACACAAAUAUUAGUAACAAGCAUAAGUAUAGUAAAAAAAGAGUCUAGAUGAAGAAGGGAUAUAACACACCACUUAUUAGGCAUUUGUUAUAUUAUUUAUAUAAAUAUUACACUACCUGUUCUUUUUGGACUAUAUUUAAUCUUUUAAUAUUAGUAAAUUUUUAUUUUUUUAAAAAAAUUUACAUAGCAAAUACUAAAAAUAAAAAUAAAGGAUUCACGUUGGCGAAAAUAGUUUGCAUAUAUUAUGAAUUAAGGUAGAUGAGAUGCACUAUUUAACUAUUACUUCUUGUCUAGAGAAUACGAAAAUUCAUCUUGCACUAUGUACGAAUUUUGACUACAGAGACAAUUUUGUCAAAAUUUUGAAAAAUAGGAGCAAAUUGUAGAUUCCAAAAAAUGCAUUGGAUCUGCAAAAUCACAAAAUUAGUUAUUAUUUUUUAGCACUGAUAUGGUACACUGAAAAGGGGUAUAAGUCACCCCCUCAUCUAAGGACCCUUAGUGGGGAGUUUUUAAUAUUAAUGGACUUAAAAGAAUAUUAUAAUUAUAAAAAUAGUUUUUUUAAAAAAUUAUUUAUAAAAUUAGUUUUAUGCAAUGAAUGAUUUACCGUAUUUAUUUAAAUAUAAUAGUUUAUUUAUUCUCAAAAUGUUAAAAUUAUUUUUACUAUUUAAUACUAUACAUCUUUUGAAGUUUAAAUGUGUAAAAUAUAUAAGUUCGGUAAAUAAUGAAUAAUGUAUCGUUUUUAGAACGCGGUGAGUCAUCGUUUUUUAAAAAUAGUAAAUAAUUCACUGCAAAAAUCUAAUUAUAUAAAUAAAAAUUUUAAAUGUCCAUUUUUAUAAUUAAAAAAAUUCUAUAGCAUCCGUUUGGUUCGGAGUUAAGGAGUGGAAAAACCCUUUAACCCCGAAGUUAUUUCCAAACGCCUAAUUUGGGGAUUGGGGUUAACUAACCCCACCCCACCCCACCCCACCCCACCCCACUACUCCAAGUCUCAAACCAAACAAAAUACUGUUUUAUCUAUUAUCUUUCUUAUCUCAACCACUCCAAUCAAACACUAUUUUAUUUAUAUCUGAACUAAUCCCAAUUUUCAACUAAAUACAAAAUUAUUCUAAUCCCACCUUAACCCUGAACUUAACUCCAUUCUUGGAAUAAUAAAUUUUUACUUAACCCAGAACCAAACGGUUGCAUAGGGUUAGUCGAUCUCAAAACCUUCUUAAUAGGUCCUUAUCUUGUCCUUUUUUUUUAAUACUAAAAACUUAAAAAAUUUUUUAAUAAAUUCUAGGGCGAAGUAAUGUAUGUCAUACAUGUAGCAUUUUUUUUUUUUCAAUCAAAAUCUAUUAAUUAAAGAAAAUAUAAAACUGAAGCUUUAUUGCAAACUUUCCAUAAUAGAGGGGUCUCUGUACAUUUUUAUGCAGAAAUGGGGCUUCGUUUUCUUCUUAACGACAAUACAGGGAUCGAAAACUCCAACUCUCUCUCUCUCUCCCCCUUCCCCAGAUCUCGUUCCCGGCGAAACCCUAGAUCUCAAUCCCAGGUAUGCUCUUUUCCCUUCCUCCCCAUCUCUCUCUCAAUCUCCGCAUCUUUGAUUCCAUUUCAUUUCGAAGCAUUAGAUCCGUUAGUUUUAGCUUACACUCUUUGAUCGAUGUGAAAUGGCUCAUUAAAUCGCUAUAAAGUUGAAGGUUUUUGCCUAAUAUUGGGCUAAUUGAUGUUACUUUUGUGCCUAGGGUUGUAGAUCUACGAGCAUUGUAGNNNNNNNNNNNNNNNNNNNNNNNNNNNNNNNNNNNNNNNNNNNNNNNNNNNNNNNNNNNNNNNNNNNNNNNNNNNNNNNNNNNNNNNNNNNNNNNNNNNNNNNNNNNNNNNNNNNNNNNNNNNNNNNNNNNNNNNNNNNNNNNNNNNNNNNNNNNNNNNNNNNNNNNNNNNNNNNNNNNNNNNNNNNNNNNNNNNNNNNNNNNNNNNNNNNNNNNNNNNNNNNNNNNNNNNNNNNNNNNNNNNNNNNNNNNNNNNNNNNNNNNNNNNNNNNNNNNNNNNNNNNNNNNNNNNNNNNNNNNNNNNNNNNNNNNNNNNNNNNNNNNNNNNNNNNNNNNNNNNNNNNNNNNNNNNNNNNNNNNNNNNNNNNNNNNNNNNNNNNNNNNNNNNNNNNNNNNNNNNNNNNNNNNNNNNNNNNNNNNNNNNNNNNNNNNNNNNNNNNNNNNNNNNNNNNNNNNNNNNNNNNNNNNNNNNNNNNNNNNNNNNNNNNNNNNNNNNNNNNNNNNNNNNNNNNNNNNNNNNNNNNNNNNNNNNNNNNNNNNNNNNNNNNNNNNNNNNNNNNNNNNNNNNNNNNNNNNNNNNNNNNNNNNNNNNNNNNNNNNNNNNNNNNNNNNNNNNNNNNNNNNNNNNNNNNNNNNNNNNNNNNNNNNNNNNNNNNNNNNNNNNNNNNNNNNNNNNNNNNNNNNNNNNNNNNNNNNNNNNNNNNNNNNNNNNNNNNNNNNNNNNNNNNNNNNNNNNNNNNNNNNNNNNNNNNNNNNNNNNNNNNNNNNNNNNNNNNNNNNNNNNNNNNNNNNNNNNNNNNNNNNNNNNNNNNNNNNNNNNNNNNNNNNNNNNNNNNNNNNNNNNNNNNNNNNNNNNNNNNNNNNNNNNNNNNNNNNNNNNNNNNNNNNNNNNNNNNNNNNNNNNNNNNNNNNNNNNNNNNNNNNNNNNNNNNNNNNNNNNNNNNNNNNNNNNNNNNNNNNNNNNNNNNNNNNNNNNNNNNNNNNNNNNNNNNNNNNNNNNNNNNNNNNNNNNNNNNNNNNNNNNNNNNNNNNNNNNNNNNNNNNNNNNNNNNNNNNNNNNNNNNNNNNNNNNNNNNNNNNNNNNNNNNNNNNNNNNNNNNNNNNNNNNNNNNNNNNNNNNNNNNNNNNNNNNNNNNNNNNNNNNNNNNNNNNNNNNNNNNNNNNNNNNNNNNNNNNNNNNNNNNNNNNNNNNNNNNNNNNNNNNNNNNNNNNNNNNNNNNNNNNNNNNNNNNNNNNNNNNNNNNNNNNNNNNNNNNNNNNNNNNNNNNNNNNNNNNNNNNNNNNNNNNNNNNNNNNNNNNNNNNNNNNNNNNNNNNNNNNNNNNNNNNNNNNNNNNNNNNNNNNNNNNNNNNNNNNNNNNNNNNNNNNNNNNNNNNNNNNNNNNNNNNNNNNNNNNNNNNNNNNNNGAUCAAGUCUAACGGAGCCGAUCGUCGAUUCGAAAAUUCCAUCAUCGAAAACGGCUCAGGAGCACGGAGGCCUCCGUGCUCCUGAGAGCACAGCAGCCCUGCUCUACAUAUAUAUAUAUAUACAUAUAUACAUAUAUAUAUAUAUAUAUCUAUAUAUAUAUAUAUUAGGUCUUGUGUGCUAUUAGGAGCACGGAGGCCUCCGUGCUACCAAUAAUAUACCAGCCUAGCUCUAUAUAUAUAUAUAUCGAGUCCGGCUACUAUACUAUUAAUAGUACAAACCGCUUACUAUUAGCUUUUCGGUCCUUGAAUGAAGGGAUAUGCAAUCAGGAUGAUAGUAACCCCCUAGGGUUGAGUGGGUGUGGUUAGUUGAAUAGUAUGAUCUAACGAGUGAAAAUGAUCAAUAGAAUAAAUCUAAGGGCAAAAAACUUAUGAGUAUAAGGGAGCGAAUACUCAUAAAAGUAUAGUAGCCGGACUCAUAUAUAUAUAUAUAUAUAUGUAAAUGUAUAUUAAUUGCCCCUUCAUUGUACCAUUUCAGGCUUCUGAAGGCAUUGCCUGAUUAACUCCUCCCAUAGUUCAUCAUCAUGUUGAUCGGUCACAAAUUCUACAGCCUACAUAAAGUUAAAAUAUUCAUUUAUUAGACACCAAGAAGUAUAUUAUUAUCCAAUCAUAAUGCAGUAAUUACGAUGGAAUGAAAUGUUUUUGGUAAACAAGGACAAAAGAAAAAGAAGAAAACAACUGACACAAACAAAGUUACUUAUGCACACCUCCUGUAUGUCCUCCAACUUAUUUAUAAUAAUAGCAAGGGCCUGUUUUGCAUUUCCCAUCCUACCAAGGACAAAGACUUGCUCUCUUAUGAGCUCUUUCCUAGCACAAAUUUCAUAAGCCUGAAAGGUAAUAAAAUGUUAUUUAUUUAUUCAGUAAAUCUGAAAAAAUGUUAGCAAAUCAAGUCCAACCUUGUCUAGCCUGUAAUGCUGACUGGUACGAAGAAAAGGGAGUAGCAAUCGUGAUUCGUAAUCUGCAUAAAGCUCUACCUAUGACAUAAAAGGACAAAGUACACAACGAAUAAUUAAUCAAGAAUAAGUGUUAUUGCAUGCACAGCAAGUACUGAAAUUAUUCAAAUUCAAAAAGAGUAGAGCUCAGGGGGAAAAGAAAAUUGUACAAGGAAAAAUGAUGAUUGCCCACAGUAAUGACAAAUAACUAGAGAUAGGUAAUUAUUGUGAUAUGAUCCUGAAGGGAUGAAGAACAAAUAAAAUUCAGUAAGAAAACAGAUAUACCUGCAUAUCAUGGAACUCUUUUCCAGCAUUAAUGUCAACCUCAAAAAGGGAAUGCAAGUAAAGAUGCAAGAAAUAUCUCUUGUCACACUUUUUAUUGGACUGCAAAAGCUGCCCGACAACUUCAGAUGGAGGAAUUAUAUCACGGUGUUGGAUCAAUAAAAGAACCGUUCUUUUACUGUCAAGUAUCAUAAGAUCAACCACCUGUAUAAGAAAUAAUAGUAAAUAUAAUAUUAAAAGAAUUGCCUUAACGAUUGCAUAAAUGUACAAGUUAAUUCUAACAUUUAUUUGACAAUAAAUAUAAUUGCUAUCUUAGUAAUAUUUUGCUAAUAGGGACUAAAAGCAACAUGCAUAAACUUCAACACAACCAAUAAAAUGAGAAUGCAAUAACAUAUAAUUUCAUGAUAACUUGAAGUUCAACAUACAUUCCUUUCUUUCAGUGAGCAGCUGUUAAUACCUGUAGAUCAUAAAACUCUUAAAUGCUUACCGGUUUGGAGUGUAAUCAUCAUAGUGAAAGGGUCAACGUUGUACUCUGUUUGAAAUGCAUUUUGUCUAUUCUUAUCCUUCAACUCCUCUCUCUAGGCUUCAAAGUUUUUAAAAAACCUUUUUUGGAUAUAUAUGAAGACUAACACAUUUUUUUGAGUGAGAGAAAGCACAGUAUGCACAAACAAGAAACAGAGUCAUUUCAGCAGACUAUUCUUGUCAAGAUAAUCGUAAAAGGACCAUUUUGCAGAAAAGAAAUAGUAAAAAUUUGAACCAUAGAUUUUAACAAUGGUCAGAUGCAUGAGGAUUUUUACUCAUAAAGGAGAAACAACAAUAGGACAGAACUUUUCAUCUGAGCCACAAGAACAAACAACAGUAUUGUAUCCAAGUACUAGAAGAGGAAUAAACAAAAGCGUAUGCCGCAGAGCGCAAGGCUACUUUUAGUGUAGCCUCCACAGUAAUGAUAUACAACCUUACCCUAGUUAAUAAAAGGAUUUCCAUGAAUCAAACCAGCAUCUAGAGGUUGUAACAAAAGGAAUCACUACAGUUAUUUGCACAAGCAGAUAGCUAAAACGAGUGGGCUGUAAGCUUCAUAAGCAUACCAAGUAUGAUAGAAUAUAGCUCUUCCCAUGAAAGUAAAACUAAGAAAAGAAAGUAAUACUGAGAAAAGAUAAAAGUGAAAUUAUCGUCAACAUUAGGGCUGAUAGCAUACCUUGUCAUGAACGGCAUGAUAUAAACUGUGCUUUUCAAUAAAAUUGAAAACGUCAGGCUUCAAUACCUGAAAAGACAAAAAUGGAAAGAUGAAGUGGGAAGGUAACAUCAAUAUGCGAAUUAAGGCUUGUUUGGCCUGUUUGGGCUUGGAAGAAAUGCUGUUACUCAAAGAGCCGUUCAAAGCAGUGGUAAUAUUUUCUUUUUUUAACCAUAAGUUAUCCUCUACAGCUUCUCACUGCAGAAGAAGCAAAAUGUUCAAAUUGGAACUUUUGGUUUUGGGGCCUGAAAGACUAUUUUAGUCUCCCAACAGCAAAAGCUCGGGACAAUUUGCUAGCCAAACACAUGGUUUAUGGAAGCUUCCACUUCGUGCAUAGAGAUGCUUUUCCAUAAGCCAGGCCAAAAUGUCGCAUGAAGCGUAAGUACUUACAUCAGCAUACAAACCAAAGGCUUUCUCAUACAGUCCAUUGAUCACAUAUAAUUCAGCUAAUGCCUGUUACAAAAACAUGAAUAAAUAAAUAGGAGAUAUAGAACAGAUGUACCAACGCAAAAAUUCCAAACUAACCUCUUUCAAAUUAUCAGUCAUAGAGGAGGUAUUCAUUUGUGGCUCAAUGGCAGAAAUAACAGGUGAUACAGAAUAUAAUGUAGGCGGCCACGAUUUAACAGUUGACAAGAGAAGUUUGUGAAAUGGCGGGUUAGUAGCCAAUGCAACAAGGGCAACCUGUUCAUAUAAAGAAUAAUAUUCAGGAACUCUACAAGCUAAUGAUAAAAAUCUUACUCAUGAAGCAACAACUACAGAUCCAUUAUUUAUCUUACAGACCUCAUAUGCAGUAUCACUCAGCUGAGGAUAGUCUGUAGGAAUGUAAGGAACCAACACAGGAAGCUGGCGCAGAUGGGCAAAGUGAAAAACCCACCUAUUGAAGAAAAAGUUUUAGUUAACAGAGAAUUGAAAACUGUGAAAGUUAAAUUGUGGGCUUUUGCAAACCUUUCCCAUGCUGAAGCGGAUCCACGGAGUAACUUAGGACACAAAGAUGCAGCUUCUGCAUAUUUCCUUUCAACAAUUAGAUGAUCAAGGUAUCUUGAUCCCACCUGACAUAAGAAGAGCACAAAAUCAUUGACCAAAUGAAAUGUUCUUAAAGAAUUUAUAAGAAGGUAGCAAAAUCCUAAUAAGAAUUCCAGAAUAUAAAGAUAAACUAUUAUAAGAAAAUCAUAGUAGACAAGGCCAUAUGCCACUGAUGCUAUCUUAAAGAGAGCUUAUGACUUUCUGCACCAAACAGGAUGGGAAACACUGAAAGGUUAUUAAAUGAAUGAGAAAUAGCUAUUCCGCCUACAAUUCUUUUAUUGCCAACCCACGAAACCAGUUGAUAAUAGAUUUCAGUUUUUGACCAACAUAUUUUUUAUUGCUGAACAAUCCCACUGGGCCAGGAUUAUAUGUUUCUUCAACCAGUUAUAUUAUCAUUGUACACCCAGUAACGAUGGCAAUGGGGAUAAAAUCAACAGUUAAUUGGAAGCGGAUUUUAAAUUGUUGCUUAAAAUGUCCAUUGCUAGAUUACAUAGUAUAAAGUGCCAUGCUGUUUCACAGCUCGCAAAAUCGAUGAGCUUGACAAUGUAGCCUUGUGCACAAACAAAAAAAAAAAAACAGAAUUCUGUUUAAUUUAAAUAGUAGGGUUGCUAUUCAUACAAGUACAAUAUCGACUCAAAAAAAAAAAAUCUUUAUGAUGGCAAAUGCAAUCACAGGCGUUACCAGCCCCUCCUUUAACUAACAGAUUAAUAGCAAGAAAGAGAAAGAAGCAGCGCCACAAUAAUCUCUUAAUCAAGUGCUUAGAGGGGAUGUGGAUCAGUAGAUCUCAUUUGCUACAACUGACCAGCGAGUAAGUACUACUUUUAAUAAUAAGUAAAUAAUGUGCAAUUGUUUGUCAUGGAAAAUAUUGACAACUGUUACGCUGGCAUGUACAUCCACCCAUAUGAUAUUGCACCAUUGAUAAUUAAAGGAAAAACAGCAGAGAUCUAAUGUACCUCAUCAAGAAGUUCAGUCCGUCCCUGUCCCGCUUCAACUGCAGCUAAUGCCUUUUCAUGCCAACCAUGAUGAAGAAGCCAAGCUAUGUGAUCUUCAGCAUCUCUAAUUUUCAUACAGAUAUUGGAUAGUUAAGAGCAUGGAGUCUGCAAUUUUACCGAGCUUCAAAAAUACACAUACUCUUGUCCAUGUUUGAUGACAUUUUUCAGAUCAAAACAAGCAAGCAAUUAUACAAGUUGAAAAUAUAUCAGAUGGUCAAAUCAGAAAUUUGCAGGAUUCCCUCACUAGUUUAUUUCUAUCUCAGCCCAAACCCUUGAAACAAUUUAGAAAGGCCCAAUUUUAUUUAGAAAAAGGAAGAAGAGUAGGUACUUCCCCAAAAUAACAAUUCAAAUCAUAACAUGUACAUAGAUAGUAAAAUGUAAUGGCAUGCAUACAUACACUAUAUAAGUACAUUGUGAACACCAAUGCAAAUAAGUCAAAGAUGCUGCUAAGUUCAAGGGGGAAAAACAUAAAAUAUAGAACGAUGGUUCCUAGAGUAACAGCCUAACGAGUUAAAAGACACCAGAAAAAGCUUGAAAAAAAGAAGAAGCUAAAGUACUUAAAAUGAGUAUAAAUUCUACAAAAUCCUCAUAUACCUAGGCCUCGCAAUCACUAUGUCUUUGGGAGAUACGAUAUAAUAGAGAGGUUCAUCACCAGCAGCCCACUGACCACCAGCAUAGCUGCUUCCUAUGCAAAAGUGCAAAAGCAGUUAGAAGUUAGCAUUCCAAACCAUGCAACUACAGUUUACAUAUUAUAAACAAAAUGAUUAGGGCUGUUUGGUCUAAUUGUAGCUUAGCAGUUACUUCUACAAAUAGCAAUUUGAAGAAGUUAGUUUUUUUAAGCAUUUGUAACAAACCUAGUCCCUAAUGAUCAGGUUUCCAAUUUGUCCUCAAGAGUUUCAAUUGUAACAAUUUAGCCAUAGAAGUUUGACCAAAAUAUCAGUUUUGUCCUUUGAGCUUCCAUCAUAACAACUUCGUCUCCGAAGGCUAAUCCGGAUUUCAGUUUCGUCCUUAAUGUUCCAUUUCUAACAAAGCAAUAUCUAACUGCAAUGCUGACCUAGCCAAGUUAGAAGUAUAAUAACAAUAGAGCGACUUGCUCGUUAUGCAAAAUGAACUUCGAAGACUAAAGUACUAAAACUAUUGAGGAAAGUGAAAUCAAAAGCGAAGUUCAGGGAUGAAAUUUGUAAUUAACCCUUUUGAUCAAAAUCUCCUUUACAGCCUCUCGUUGCAAUAGAAGCAGAAUCUCAAAUGGGAGCUUCCGCUUGGGGGCCAAACCCCUUUUAAUUUCUUGUCCAAAGAAAAUUUUGAGCCUAUUUGUUAGCAAAAUAGCUGGUUUCUAAAGCUUAUGAUAGGGAAGCUAUUCCAUAAGACAGGCCAAGCAGGCAAUUCAAAUUGGUAAAGGGUGUUUGAAACCUGUGAAUGGAGCAUGUGCAAGAGCAUAAUCUUUUGCCUUAUAAUGUUCAUAGCCAUGAACAGGUAAAGCAUCAGUUGUUAGUUCCUCAUUUUUCCAUGUGACAAUUCGUAUUUCUGGCCUUUGUGCAGUUCCCUGUGUAAAAAUUCCACGCACAUUAAGAACAAGUACUUCUGACUAAUGUAAAAUAUUUCACAAGAGCUAAAGUCAGAGAAAUUUACAAUGUCCAAUGCAACCAGCAAACAGGAAAAAUUAUUGCCAGCACCUGUGCACCACAUCAGCCAGCGCACCACCCAUUCUCUACCAUUCAUCCAUCACAUACUUCUAGAUCAAUAAAUGCUAGGAAGUGGGGACUGAACAGUGAGAUGGGAUGAAGGGCGGAGCAUGGGCGGGGGCACAGGCUGACAAGAUGUGGCAAAUGCAGGCAAUAAUCUAUCCUACUUAGGCAAUCAUUAGUAUUACUAACUGCUCUGGAGCAAGACAUUUUGAAAGCACAUUCAUCAGAAAACAAAGAACCAUGUAGCCCAGUAAAUCUGGUUUGACCCUAGUUGGGAAAACAUCUAGCUUAGUGUUGCCAGCCAUCCAAACUCAUUUUGACCUUGUUCACUUUCUUAAAAUUUCAUACUUUGGUCAUAGCUAGUGCAAUUACAUAACUGUCCAAAAAUUUGAUCAUUAGGCAUGUUUUGGUAGAUAGCGUUUAGCGUGCUAGUAAAUGCAGGUCUGCAUUUAGACCUUCUAAAGGUGAGACAGACUUAUUUUUGUUCCCACAAUUUCAUAUAGCCAUAUAAAAAGAAAAACCACACAAAAGUCCAUAAACAAGAAAAAAGACUUUCAAAUAAUGUCAAAUGAGAUCACUGCAAUAUUAUACUUUUCUCUUUAACUUAUGGUUUCUCAAGCUUCCCAUAGCCAAAAACUCCAAGAUUUGCAAAAAAACCUGAAACUGGAUAUGAGACUUAAGAUUUGAACCUAGUCAUAAAGUCACAAUAGAGUUGACAAUAAAGCAGCAUUUCAUUUUAGGGUAUUUCACAUAAGUAACUGCACAAAAUCCUCUAUUUGAUAAAUGUAUACACGCGACAUCUGAAUUUUCACAUAUACCCCUUGGCAGUGCAGUUUAAGAUAAUGCUCUCACCUUAAAUUAGGGUUACAAUUUACAGGGGAAGGGUUCUAAAAAUAACCAUCCAGAAUAUAUUUCUAAAAAUAAGCCCCUGUAAAAAAAUCUGAAUUGUCAGAUGCGCGUGUCCUUUGGAACUGCCGCUCAAAAAAAAAUGUUGUUACCCUAAACUAGAGAUCCAUUUUACAGGAAAGCUGGUUUUGUUCAGAUUUUUUAUUUUUUUCGUAUGUAGAGGAAGUUUUUUCUAAAAAGAUGAGAUAUUUUUACUACAAGGAAAUAAUAUUUUGCAGGAAAUUAAGUAUAUAUGCAAUUAGUUAGUACUUUGAUAGAGUAUAAGUGAAAUUUGCUAAAUAUAGUAUGAAAAUGCUAAUGUUGUCAAUCUAAAAAAUCAUUCUUUAAGCUACUAAAUGAAAAUACCUGCCGUGAUGGGACAGUUGUACUGAAAUCCUUUUCUCCAUUUUCCUCAUCCGGGAUGUAUGCUAGUACUACUAAAGCAUCGCCGUAUGGAGCAAUACCAGAAAUGUAGUAACUAGUUUGAAAAGAUGCCACAAUAUCCACAUACUUAGUACUUGAAAUGGAAAUAUUUGUCCGUACACCAUUCACACCAUUGGGAGAAUUAGCUCUAAUGGCAGCAAUCUUUACACUCGUUCCCCAGCCAAUGACCAAGAGAGUGUCAUCCUAGAUACAACAAAUCUUCUUAGCAUGUGACAUAGAAAAUUUCCAGAUUCAACAUAGAAAGAGGAAAGAACCUGCAAUUGCUAUAAACCUUCUCAAAAGUAUUUAAGAAAAAAAAAGAGAAGAAGAAAACAGCCAUCAUUAGCUGAGUUAGGCCUGGCUAGAACUUUUGACAACUGCUGCAUAAUAGAGUUGUUUGGGGAAGCACAAGCAGCUUUGUCAUUACAUUUCCCUAGCAGCUUCUCAAUAACCUAAUUGGAACAUCUGCUUUUGAGGCCCAAACACUCAUUUUAUCAUCUUGCCAUAGCAAAAGCUCUAGAGACUCUUCAUGACAAACUCCUAGUAACUGUUUCUUGAAGUAGAGAAGUUAUACCAGAAACUAAGCCAAACAAACAAAUUAGUGCCCAAAUACCCUCUAAUUUAUUCCUUUAUAAUCAUAAAGAGAGUAAAAUGCAAUAAUAAACAAUCAUGCACUUAAUUCUGCUACUGCCCAUGAUUCAUUGCUCCUCCAUCUUACCUCCACCCCAUCCUGAUAAAGUAUUAACAAUAAAAAUAAAAUAAAAUAAAAAUAAAAGAAGAGACUUCCAGAUCAGAUAGGUAGGCUUUUCGUUGGUAUUCAUUAUAUUCUCCGGUAGCUUGAGUUUCAAAUUAAUACUGAUUCAAAACUGUAGAAAAAUUUUUACUGCCGACCUUUUCAAUUGUCUUAUUUUCUGAUAAUUUAGUGGACUGCCAUCUGAAAUCUGAAAAAUGUUCACCAAUUUCAGCAAAUGGUAUAUCAUUAUUUCGACAUAAAGCAAUUUCCGGCCUGUAAAUACACCACUUACUAGGCUAAAACAAGGCCCAAACUCAAGAUAGCUGAAAUUCAGUCUCAAUAACACACAUAUGCGUGUUACUUGUAUUACUUUACGGGCCAAUAAGAACAGUAUCAUAUAUCUAUUUCUAUCAGUCAGGAACAGUAAAUCUCAAAAAUCUGAAAUGACUUAAUAUUUUGAGCAUGAUGAGGUCAAGCACAACAUUCUCUUUUGAAAUGGUUGCCUCAGCCAGACUACUUCAGAAUGAAAAGGGGAAACUUCACAGAAUAUAUUUUACCUGCCACACCAAGUGAGGAAGUAAAAGCUCUGGACGGGGGAUUCCCCUCGGUCUCUCAAUAAAAGAAAUUCGCUGAUGAUUUGCCAUGUCAUAAACUUUUACUCCUGCAUCAUUAGCCCAAGCAAUAAGACUUGUUCUCCACUUCACGGUAUGAAUUGGACCCUCACCGUCAUGCAGAAUCUGAGAAGAUACAAGGAUGCUGAAUAAUUAAAAUCUGACAAAUCUACAUAUAUGUACCCCCAAAUUACACAUUUAUAUACAUAUAUUCUUGUAAAAUCAGAAUUUAUAUCUUUUCAAAAGUGCAAUUCUUAUAGAAAUACUCGUUUUUAACCUGAGUCAUCCAAUUCAGGUGAAAAUUUGGUUUUGCACAAGAACAAAGCUUUCCAAUGAGGGGCAUUUUGUAAGUAGAAGGGUUAUAUAUUUAAGAAAUUAAAAUUUUGAGACGCAAAUAUGAAAUGAGUCUUGCAGGGGUAUUAGUAUAUACGUUAACAUCUCGAGACACAAGCGGGUACUAAACCGAAAUAUAUUCUAUAUCAAGAAAUAAGACAUACCUGCUUAUUAUAACCUAGCCAGUUCUUCAUGUUGAGAAAUAGUUGACCAGCUAAACCACCCGCGACAAACCUUCUUGAGGAUUUCCGUGAAUAGUCAGGGUCUAGAGCUAUUGCUUUCAUAGGCCGAUGAUACUCGAAUUUCAAUUUUUCAUCCGUAAAAAGGCUGCUUAUAACUACAGAUCCAUCAUCUGAGCAGCUACCAAUAAAUUCACCUUCUGCAUCAAAGCUAAGGUCGUUGACUGUAGCGGUAUGAGCAGCAAAUUCUUUGACCUGUAAAUAUAAAGUGUUGAGAACAUCGGCAUAUUUCGGCAAGAUAAUGGCAAGGAGUAGUAGACAACAGGGCAAAUCAGAAUAAAAAUGACAAGUACUUCUCAAAACAACUAAAAAUCUGGUCCAACCAAUAUGUCGGAACCUCAAAUAUCCUUAAUCUUCCUAAAGAUGAAAAAUCACGCCAUGCAAUCAAAACUACUUCAACUAUAUUGAACCUAAGUUAGAUUCAUCUAAGCACAAACUAGGGAUUGAGUAACUCUAAAGAAUAACAACUAACAUUUUAUACAGCUAUACGCGGUCAGCUAUAUAGGUCGUAUACUUUACAUAAGAUUCUUUGUGAAAUAAAUAUUAUCAUGUAUUUCCUUAUUAUGUCCUCCAGUGUUCAUUAUAAUAUUCCCUUCCCUCAUAAGGCAACUUCUACUUGAAUACUCUUUACUGACACCCCAAGUGGUCUUCUUUGUGCNGGAUAUACCGACUGGCGCAUAUCGACAUAUUUUACAAUCAACAAUAAGAAAUCUCAAUGAGUUAGGGAUCAAACACGAAUCUACUUAGAUUGAAUCCAAGUUAUAUCAACUUCAUCAAAACUAACGUACCGCACUAAAAAGUAGAAAUCCUUCUAAUUCCUAUAAACUCCAAGGCUGUAUAACCAACCUGGUCUAAAAAUCAACAAAACUCUUCAUGAACAGUAAAAAUAAGACUAAACGGGACAACAGAUGAUGAGGAACGGUAAUAGAACGGCUUUAUACGGCUACAAGAGUUGUGAAAUAUAAAUGUCCAGUUUCUUAAACGACGAGUAUGGCGAUGUCAGUUGCUGGAAUCGAAACUACGUCUUCCACUUAAAUAACCAUCGACGAGUCUACUACCUAGACAUCAAUAUUCGUCGGAAAAAUGCCUACUUUUUAACUUUAAGCUCAUAGUAGCCGGAUACUUUCGUUAUCGAGAUCUGGGACUGAUAAGUGCCUUUAGGAGUUCUUCCAAACAGCGCCCACCAAAUCGACCAGUUGAUAAAGAGUUGUACUUCUUGACCGAUCCAAUAUUAUUCGUCCAUACAGAAUAAAGAACUAUAUCUUAUAUAAAGCCAAAUCAUGGGCGAACACAGAGCUCUACAAUUGCAUAUAUGAUUAUGCAUGUAUUUCCUUAUUAUGUCCUCCAGUGUUCAUUAUAAUAUUCCCUUCCCUCAUAAGGCAACUUCUACUUGAAUACUCUUUACUGACACCCCAAGUGGUCUUCUUUGUGCAUGUCCAAACCAUCUCAAUUGGUUCCGCGUGAUUUAACCAGUUGGGUGCUAUACCUAAUUUGCUACUUAAUAGAAUCCUUUCUUUACUUUAUCUUCCAUACUAGCCCCACUAACAUGACUAACUUUAUAGUUGUCUAAUAAAAUCUUCCUUCUACUUUCAGGGGUAUAACAUUAGAAGCACUUCUUUCACUUCUAAUCAUCUUAUGCUUCCGUGCUAGAGCAUAUGGAACGCAGUUUUUUACAAAUGAAACAGUAAAGAUAAAAAAAGAAAAAUUCAUGGUGGAUAAACAUAACUAAGAGGGAUUUCUGUCGUUAACUUGGAUACAUCCAAGUGAAAAAGAUGGCAAAUAGUCUAACAGUGCAUUCAAGAUGUUGAUAAAUCAUCUUAUGCUCCAGUCAUCAAAUAAAAGCUCAUCAUCCAACUACCAUUCAAGAUAACCUACAAAGCAGUUUAUAUUGGGAGCUACACACAAGCCUAUAUGUGCAGGGUAGGGCCCCUCCUUUAAAAAGCAGAUGAUACAAAGGCGUAAAAACAGGGAAUCAAUAUCUAACUUACAAGACCAAGAGAAUAAAAACAAAUGUGAUUGUUUCAAUGAUUGGCUCUCACAAUGCCUAGAUGGUGGAAGUAAUGCUGUAAUUAGGGUACACUAUCUACAAAAGAUAGGGGAAAAAAUAAAAAAACUUUAAUUACUUGAACAAAAAAGAACUGUUCUAAUCAAAAUUAAAAACUACAAAAAUUAAGGUCGAUCUCCCGAUCUUUAUAUUUGAACAUUGAAAAUUCUAAUUCAGUUUUCUUGACCAUAUUUCGGACAGCAAAUCCCCACAUCAACAAUAUUUCACUUCAAAACCAAUCUCAUGACAGAAAUGAUCAUAUCCGUUUGGGCGAUUAAAAAGAAAUUAUUUGACUACAGGAUGUGUCGAUCGCAUCAUAAUUCUACCUCCGAGUUUACUUUACUCAGAAAACCGAUCUAAGCGACCAAAAAUCGUUCUGAGGGAAAAAGAACGGAAUCGAAUCGGAAUCGACCUGAUUGCCCUGGAAAUCGAGGAUGUGGACGGUGCCGUCGUGGGUGCCGAGGGCGACCAUGCGCUCGGCGACGGCGAUGGACGCGGCGGCGUCGGUGGAGAGGAGGGGGGGAACGCUCCCCCCCAUUCUCUGGUACUUGAGCCUCGGCUCCUCCUCGUCCUCUUCCGCCUCCUCCUCUCCCCUGUUCUCUACAUGCUCCUCCUCCUCCUCCUCCUCCUCCUCCUCUUCCUCCUCCUCCUCGUCGUCGUCCUCCUCCUCCCUCUCGUCGUCCCCCUCGACCCCGUUCUCCGAGGGUUGGAGCUCCGACGCCAUGGCUGCUGCGCCGAGAUCCGUGUACAGCAGGAGCUUCGAGAAGCGCCCACGCGAUCGCUCUCUCUCUCUCUCUCUCUCUCUCUCUCUCUCUCCUUCUCUUUCUCUCUCUAGAUUUUUUUUUUUUUUAUCCUGUUUAAUGCUAAACUUCGUGCCAAUUUUAAUCCGGUUCGUUUGUCGUUACGAAAUUAAAAGGAAUUAAUACGAAAAGUCGGGGCGUUUGAUAGAUCCGUUAACCCGCUUAGGACUUAACGGGCGAAAAUGAGGAGCCCAUUAUUAAUCGGAUCGGGUAAUAUAUAUAGUAAGCUUUUUAUCGCCUUGUUUUGAUGCCCAAACAAGUUAUUCACAAACAAAUUAUUAUGACUUUAUUUAAAUACUAGUGUAGUAACCCNCGAAAACUUAAAAUCUAUAUUUAAGAAUAAAUUAUUAUUUAAAGAUUUAUUUAAAAUGGAUGGUUGAAAAUUACUGGACAUGACAAUAUUAGUAAAAAUGAUAGAGACAUUUUUGGAAAGAAAAAAAAUUUAAAACUCACGUUUUUAUAAGUAGUAUAGAUUUGGAGAUAACCUUUGUCUAUAUUGGCCCAAUUAUGAGAGUAGAAAUUAUAAAUAAAACUCAUGAUAGAUGUUGAUUGCAACACAUGCCAUAUUUUAAAUUUUAAAUCAAACAGGACAAAGUUAAAUACUAUAUAGAAUCUAUAAGAGAAUCUUAUUUAAUACUCUCAAUUUAACAUAAUCUAAAUUCUAUUCCAUUAUGUUGUGGCACUUAAUUAAGUUAUCAUCAAAAACUUAUGUGGCAAUAAUUACUACCCUUUUAAAUUAUUAUCAUAUCAUCUCAAAAUUAUUUUUAUUUAGCUACUUAGUUUAACAACUAAUUAACAAUUUGCACGUAAAAGUGAUCUUAAGAGAUAAAUUAAUAGCCAUGCCAUCUCUAGAGAUAGUGUGAUUAUGAAUAUAAAUCGGUUUGUCUUUUUGUUUGACAAACUACAUGGAAUUUAGUAAAAUAUAAUAAACAAAAAAUUGAAGUUCAAUAAUUUAACCGACCGUCACUAGAACAAGUGGCAAAGGGUUUGGUGGUUGGUACCCGAGGUCCCAAGUUCGAAUCCUAGUUGAUUCACAUUUUCAGCUAAGUUUAUUUCUAAAUAAAAUAAAUGAAACGGGUAGCGUGCUACCUAUCUCUCAAAAAAAAAAAGAAAAAAGAAGAAGUUCAAUAAUUUAUUUCUCAAAACCUUUCAAAGAACUAAAUUUGAAAUAAGGUAUAAAUUACAUUGUAAAUAAAAUAUGUUAUCUCUUUCCAAAUCAGUAAUGUUAAGAUUCUUCAAAGAUAUUUAAACUUUUUAUUUCAAAUCACAAAAAAAAAACCAAAUAAGUUAUUAUUAAAUAAUUUAUUUUCAUAUAUCUAUUAUCUAUUACUCAAAGUUUGUCGGCCAUUUGGAUCUCAUCAAACGAUUAAAAUGAAGAGUACUCUGUCAUUUUUGUGUGACAAAAAUACCCCUCCUCCAUAUCCGUAAUGUUCAUCCUAUGUACUGCCGCGUUUUUCUAAUGACCAAUCAUUUAAUUACGUAAAGAUAAAUUUAUUUCUAGUUAUCUAAGGUAAUACGACAGCCAAUCAUAUGCCUGCGCUAAUCACGUGAAUAUUGAAAAUUAAAUUUAUUUCCUAGCCACACAUUUUUUCAAAUAUUUUUCUUAUCAAACAUAUACUGUCAACCAUAUAUUCAAAAAAUAAAUUUUAAUUCUGUAAUUGCGCAAAAUUUAAUACCACGCGAAUUUGAUUUUUUUUUUGCGUAUUUUCUCAUUUUCAAGCUGUAGGUUUUUUAUAUAUAAAUAGUAUAUUUUUUUAAUUGUAUCCUUGGUUUAUUUUUAUCUAUAUUUUUUUUCAAUAUUUUUUAGUAAUAUUUUCUCAUUUGUUACAGCGGUUACAUCGUCAUCGUACCUACUUAUCAUCAUUGUUGUGUGCUGGUACAUGUGUCGCCCCGUUCACCACCGUUAGUCUAAUUAAAGAUGGUAUUUUAAUUCUAUCUGAAAUUUUUUCUUUUUUUUAAUAUGCCUUAUCUGUUUAAGUUUUUUUUUUUGUUUUUUCUUAGUUUCUAGAUACGGUUCUCAAAUACUAAAGUAUAAUUUUUUAGUAAUAUAUAUUUUAUUUUUAUUUAUAUAUUUUUAUAAAUACUUUUAAAUAUUUUUUUUGUAUAUAUUCUAUUUGUCCCCCGUUGUCGACAUGGUCAUCGUAAUCAUUUAUCACUGAGCGACAAUUUCACCUUCGCCACCUCCGCUUCGCACAAUUUUGAAGAGUAUUUUGAGUCCCAUCUAAAAUUUCUCUUUUUUUAAUAUGUAUCUUUAUACGGUUUUAGUAUUUUUUUAGUUUUUUUAUUUUCUAUACUUAUAUUAUUUCAAAAGUAUGAAGGUAUAUUUUUUAGUAAUAUUUUUUUUAUUUUAUUCUACUAUUAUUUUUCUUAAGAUAUUUUCAAAUAUUUUUUUAAAUAAUAUUCUUUUUUUAUUUAUCUCCGUCGUCGUGAACGCGUACAUCAUCCAUAUUACUCUCUGUACAUAUCCGCCUUUGCAAUAAUUAGAGAAUAUUUUAAUUUAAUUUUGAAUUGUCUUUUUUGCUAAGUGCCUUAUACUGUUUUAGCAUAUUUUUUUUAGUAAUUUGCUCAUUGUUUACCUAUAUUUUUUUCAAAUAUAAACAUAUAUGUAUUUAGUUAAUAUUCUUUUUUUUUAUCUAUAUUUUUUCAAAUUUCUCAAAUAUUUUUUUAGUAUAUUAUUCUCAUUUGUCACCAUUGUCGGUAAUUAGACUGCUCAUCUUUCUCAUCGUUUAGCCGUCAUGGCGCCAAACUGAUUGUCGCCUUCGUCAACUUUAUUACUACUGCUAUGUCUAUAUAUUCAGUUUCUUUAGAUGUUUAGAAAUAAUUUGUCUAAAUCAAUUCUACAUCUUUAUUUUGUAUGGUGUUAAUCGUUCUAAACGGGUGAAGGUUAAAGCAGUUUCUCUUUUUAUCAUUCCACAUACAAAAAUUAUUAUAACUAAUUUUUGGAUGGAUUAAAGUAUGAAUGAAUUAGAUUAAUCCUCAUAGGACACAGAUAUGUUGCUAACACACAUAUGGCAUGAAAAAUUAUUAAUAACUAAUUAUUUGAUGGAUUGAAGUAUGAAUCGAUUAGAUUGAUCCUUUAGGACAAUGAUAGUGCUAUUACAACAAUUUAUUUUUGUAUUAAAACAUCGUCACGUUAAUAUCGAUAAUUAGAAUAAAUGUAUUUUUAAUAUUUUAUUUUUCUGUUGUAUUUUCAAAUUUUUAUUUAUUAGGAUCAAUUUAUUAGCAAAAUUUGUGAAUAAAUGUGCUUAAUCUAUCUAUUCCAAAAAUCAAGAAAUAAAAUCAAGCUAAAAUUUUUAUUACUUAUAUGAUUUUAUUAAAUUUUAUAUUUUAUUAAUUUUAUUUUCUGAUGAUUACUAAUAUUUACUUAUUAUUUUUCUUACUUUCAGUGCAAUUUGUAUGGAAGAAGACUGAUGUUGACAUUUUCAGUUAGUUUAGAUAGAUUUUGUGUUCUUUCUUUGAUGAUAUUGUAUUCUAUUUCUAUUUCUUGGUAUUUUAUUUUUUUGGUAAUAAUUAAAUAUUAUAUUAUCGAUCUAUAAUAUUUAUUAUAAAAAAUUUAUUUGUUAGUAUUGGUGUGACGUGCAUUGCCGUGCACUUAACUAGUAUAUAUAUAUAUAUUAUAUUAAUAUAUUAUUAUAUAUAUAUAUAUAUAAUAUAUAUUAUAUAUAUAUAUAUGAGUGCCUCUACUAUACUUUCGAAAGUACGGGAACCUCCGUGCUUGUAAGUUGUUUUCGAUGAUAGGAUAUCCGAUUCGACGAUCGGCUCUAUUAGGUAUAAUCUACUCUAUUGGAACUAUCUAGAAACCAAAUUUUAUAAUUUUUUGACAUCAUUUACUAAGCGAUCAAAACGUCCCAAAAAUGACUAUUUUAAUGGCCAAUGCGGCACGUUUUUAAGUUCAACAGUAUAGAAGUAUCCAAAUUACAUGAAAAUUUAAUAGAAAAUUCUACUUAACGUCAAUAGCAAGAUCAAUACUUUCGAUUUGAAAUUUGAGUCCUUUAUCAUUAUUUUUUAUGAGAUUUUUAUUUUCAACCGUUUAUUUUGAGGCUACUCAUUUACUAGACAAACGAAGUCAAAAAAUUAUAACAAUUGGUUUCUAGAUAGUUCCAAUAGCGUAGAUCAUGUCUAACGGAACCGAUAGCCGAAUCGGAUGUCCCAUCAUCGAAAACAACUUGUAAACACGGAGGCCUCCGUACUUUCGAAAGCAUAGGAGCCUAGCUCAUAUAUAUAUAUAAAUAUAGAGUUGAGCUAGAAUACUAUCGGUAGCAAACGGGCUCCGUUGCCACCAAUUUGUUUUCGAUGAUGGAGCCUCCAAAUCGACGAUCAGCACCGUUGAACAUGAUCUAUACCACUUGAAGUUUUUAGAAAUCAAAUUUCAUACAUUUUCGAUAUUAUUCUCUUAUCCAUCGAGUGGACAAAAAAAUGAACCGUUGGAAAUAAAUAUUCUUUAAAAAAUGAUGUUAGGAGUCUUGUAGCCAAGAUCAAGAGUAUAGAUCUUGUUUUAGAUAGUUUAAAAAAUUUUCUAACAAAAAUUCAAUUGAUUUGGAUAUCUUUACACUGUUAAACGAGAAAAAGCCUCAUAUCGACCAUUAAAAUUACAAAAUUUAAAACCCUUUGAUCAUUAGGCAAAUAAUGUCGAAAAGAUUUAAAAUUUGAUUUCUAAACACUCAAAGUGGUAUAGAUCUUGUUUAACGGUGCCGAUCGUCGAUUUGGAGGCUCUAUCAUCGAAAACAAAUUGGUGGCAACAGAGCCCGUUUGCUAUCGAUAGUAUUCUAACUCAACUCUCUCUCUCUCUCUCUCUCUCUCUCUAUAUAUAUAUAUAUAUAUAUAGCUAAUUUAAAUUUUAAAUUAUUUAAACAUGACCAGUUAAAUGAGUUUGGCAUAGAGAAAAAUACACUAAUAAAUUGCUUCGUAAAGUUUCAUUUGAUAGUAUAUAACUGUAAGGAUGGUUUGGUUCAAGGUUUGUAAUAUUUUAAAAAUAUUAUAUAUUUUAUAUUUGGAAUGACAAGAUUACUACUAACUUUUACCCUUCUUUGAAUAAAAAACUUAAUUAUAAUCCUAAUCAAAUUUCAAUAUUUUAUUAAUUUUUCUAAUACAAAUAUAUCUAAUUCUAAUUCAAAACUUUUAAAUUCAUCUUCCUAAAUUUUAAAAAUUUAUUCCACAGGGAAAAUCAUAAAAAUCUAAACAACAUCUAUAAAAAAAUCAAUAAAAUAAUAAUUCUAAUAAUUAAAAAAUAAAAUUUUGUUUUUUUUUUUAACAGCAUCACAUGAUGAAAAUUUAUACAUUGAACAAAAAUAACUAUUGGAGUUAAAUUAGAUAGUGGAAAAUUAGUUAAUAGUUUAUGUAAAUAAGGUAUUAUUUUAGCACAUUCUCAAAAUUUGAAAUCAUUAGAGUUGUUAAUAUUAGUACUAUAUUUAAAAUCAUAAAUAAUCAUAAAUUGUUUCACAAGUGUCCUUCUUGUGAGACAUUCAUUUAUCAUGCAUUUAUCAAGUGUACAAAAUAUAACCUUUUAUAUUGCAAAAAUAUAAAAAAUGUACUCUUUUUUUUCAAUUUAACAUGUUUUCAAGUAUAAAAAAUAAUUUUAUUUUUCAAGAGAAGAGAUAGCUUGUAGAUUGUAUAAAGUACUAAUUUGCCAUCUUAUGGUACAGCGUAUUUUCACUUUUCCAGUAAGUUUAACCUUUUUACCCUAUAAUUUUUUAUUUUUAUUUCACUGUAUGGGAUGGAAUAUGAAAAUAUUAUAAUUUGUAAACCACAUUAUAGUAAGUAAUACAUUUUAUGAAUAGCAAAGACAUAAAACAUGGCGUUUUAAUAUCUUAUAAUUUGCAUUUAAUUAGGUUAUGUUGGAUGUAUAAACAUUCUAUUCGGUAUAUAUCUUUGAUUUAUUAGAAAAGUGUAUAGUAUUUAACUAGAUAAAAAGUGAAAUCCGGUGCUUAAAAUGGAUAUCAUAUUCAACUUUCAAAUAUUUUUCUAAAUAAGAUAAAGUACUUCUAAAAUAUAUUAUUUUAUUAAAUUAUAGAUGUUAAAACUUUUUAAAAAGCAAAAAUUAAUUCCUACCUUGCAAUUGCAUAAGAGAAUUUUCAUAACAAAUAACUUUUCAUGUAAUAUCUUAUUCCAACAUCUAAGCAAGGCCUAAACUACCAUAUAAUUUGUAAAAUAUAUUACUUUACAUAUUCUUAACGAAAUAUCCUUUAUGGUUCUUCUGUUUGGAUAUACUAACACCUUGUUUAGUAUAUCUUUUUAACUUACUUAAAAAAGCUUCCUAUGAUAUAUUAGAUCUUAGUAAAUAGGCAAGAUUGUAGUAAGAAUUUCCAGUUAGUAUUUUUUUUUUUUUCGUAGUGCUUGAUUGAGUUGAAGACGUUUUAGCGUGAAAUAGACGCAAACACGAACUCCAAAAUUCAAAAUUUAGCUUGUGGGAAAUUAAACUAAAUAAUAUAAUAUGGAUAUAGAAGUUAGUAUGCCAAUUUUGACGAUACAGAACAACCUAAUCGCAAAUCUAAGGAGCAAAAUGAUAGUCAGGACGACGAGGUGAUCUGCUACCGCUCUCCUAGUCAGAACAACAGCCACAACACUUCAGAGUGGUUUGAAAAAUUUCUCAUCAAAAUUAUGCAAAAUCAACUCCUAAAACGUAUAGAAAAUAAUUUCUAACUCUCAAUUUCUUUAAAGAUUCAUCAAAAAAGUAUAAACAAAAAUUAAUAAUAUUAUAUAUAAGGUGUAUUCUUGUGCAUGCGGCUGAUCUUUUUGAUGUAACCGGACUUCGCUGUAACACUUGUAUAAUAUUUGAUAUAUGAUAAGUGUGAUAAUGUAUAGAAUAAAAUAACAUACUUGGCCUCUAUGUUGGUUUUUUGAAAUAAAAUAAAUUACUUCAUAGGUGAAACUUACUAUCCUCCCAAAUUGAGAAUGUCAAAACUUUUAUUAAGGUCUAGUUUAAUAAUGCGGUGACUACAAACAUCAGUUUUAUACUACAUAAAAAUAAUACUUAAAAAAAGCAUGCGAUUUUAACUGAAAUUUUAUAGUAUAAAAGAAAAAAAGUUGUAAGUACUUGUAAAUUUCUUGUGUCUUCUAUUACUAUAAAAAUAAUUUACAAAAUUAAGCCUAAGAAGUAAAAAAAAAAAUCAAUCUCCUUGCUCUUAAUCACAAUACAAAAAUUUCUUGCUAAAUAAGUUAUCAACAAAUAAUUUAGUCCAGCAUCCAAAUAUGAAUUGUUAUGAAAUAGAGAGACAAAUGAACAUGGGCCGAACAACAUGGGCCUCAUGCCUUAUUAAAGGUUUUUUUUUAUUAUUAUUAAAGGGUAAAUUACACUUAUGGUUCUAAAAAUAUGAGACGCGUGACGGUUUAAUCCUAAAUUUUAAUUCAUUGUAAUUUUUAAAUCAAAUUAUAAGAUGUGUAGCGUUUCAGUUCUCAAACUUUAGUUAAUUAUAAUUUUUGAUUCAAGCUAUAAAGCAUGUGAUAUUUUAGUUCUCGAUCCCUCAAUAAUGUAGCAAUAUCCUACUUGACAAUAUAAUAAUAAUCAAGAUACUAUAUCACCUGGAUAUGAAUUGAGCUGGAAUGCUUUUAGAAGCAUUACCCUCUUGGUGCUUAUAGGUUUUUAACCCUUGGAUCUACUCCUUAAUUACUAAUAAUCUUUGGAUCAAACACUAUUCUAUCUAUCACCACCUAUCAUCAUCAUCCCAACCCUACAUCUCUCAAUCUAAGAAUUAAAAAUUCAAAAGCACCACCCUCUUGGUGCUUUUGAGAGUAUUCUAGUUCAACUCCCUCGAUAUUAGUAAUUCAUUAACUAUAAUAAUUCAAAAAGCGUGUCCUUAUAUUUUGAGUUAUAAAAUAUAACUAAUUAAAAUUUGUGGACUAAAUUGCUAUCAGAAUUUAGUUAUAAUGAAUUACAGUUUGAAGAUUAAAAUAUUACACAGUCAUAGUUUGAGAGGACUAAAAUGUAAUUUACGCUCUCUCGUUUUUUUUUUUUAAUUUUUUAAUAAGUUGUCCUUGUUGGGUAGUUUUUUUAGCAACAUCACCGUCCACAUCAGCACGUGUUGGGAGCCCAAAAGCCGCGCACAGCUGUACACUCCGGUGCCACGCGGCGCUUUUUCAUUGGCUUCGGAGUCUCCUCACGUGGCGUUCCACAGCUCGUCCCCGUCGCGCCACGUGUCUCCCGUUCAUCACCCCUCGAUCGACACGCGAGCGUUGACCUAUGGCUGACCCUCCGAUCUCAACCGUCCAAUGCUGCUCGGCCUUUUCUUCGCAAUAUCCACCGUCCGAUCAUAUGUCGGCACUUCGGCGGGAGAUAUUGCUUGUCCUUGGUGUACUCAUACAUCUCAUGCACCGUACUUAAAAAUUAAAAUAUAAUCUAAUUGAUAUGAUUUAAAAUAUUUUGAAAUGUCUAUAUUCAUUAAAUAUAAGUUCUAAAAAGAUAAAACAUAAAUUGAAAUUUAAAUGUUUUCUAAAUGUUAAAUUAAUCUGAAAAAUUAAUUGGUAUAGAUAAAAUAUUAGUCUAUUUAUAGUGAUAAUAAUAUUCGAUAUUCAUGAAUUUUUCAUACGUAAAUCUUUUAGUGCCAUAGAUUAUUAUAGAAGACAUUUGAUGGAUUAUUAUUUUUAAAGGCUCUAAAUUUAUUAUUGAAACAUGGAAUGAUUAUAAAAAUAGAAAUAAAUAUUAUUUGAUUCAUAUAUAAAAUCAAAUUCAGAUUUGAAAACAUCGACGUCGGAUGUUGAUCUGAUGAUUCUAAAAAUAUUAAUGGCAAAUAUAUGUAUUGGAUCUAGUUAGCAUAUAUUUUGACUAAAAGUAACUUAUAUUAAUUGAAGAGUUAGUUGCAUAUCUCUCCAUACAAAACAAUGAAAUUGUAUAUUUAACUCCAUAAAAUAUUUUAGUUAUCACAUUUAUUUUUUAAAAAUACAUAGUUCAUAAGUAUACCUCUCGUCACUACUUAGUCAGUUAAAGUUAAAUUUUCAAUAUUUUAAAUUAGAUUUAAUAUUAUUUACUAAUUUUAAUAUUGUUCUUCUAUUUUUUGUGUCAUUCUACACAAACUACAAAUUGUAAAUUCCAAAAAAAUUCUAUAAAAAUUAUUUUUUACAAGAACAGAUUUGUUGAUUUAGAAUUUUAAAUAGAUUAUUUGUACACCAUUGAUACAAAUUUGUUAAGAAGGAGUGCGGUGCACGGUGCACGGUGCACCGGGUGCACGCAAGUAUUUUCCGUCAGUAGUAUCAUGGGAUAUGUAUAAAUAGCGUGGACCAAUAGAGUAAAGGGGCCUACUAUUCCCGUUGCAACGCUCCGUUCCGUUUUUUCCAUUUUGCGCUCUUUUUAAAUCACCGGUUGAGGAAGGUCCUAGAAGCUACUUUAUUUUUUUUAAUUAUAAUUAUAAUUAUAACAUAUAUUUUCUUCUUAGAUCUCCCUCUAGGGUUUCCUCGUCGCCUCGAUCGCUCCGACGAAUCCACCUCCUUUGAGCAUUUGCUACGGUUUUAAUGGUAAAUAAAUGACCCCCUCCCCCGAUUUUUGGGGUUUUCUUGGUUUGAUUUGAGCUAGUUUGUGUUGUUUGAUCCAAAUUUACGCCUUAAAUGCUUUGAUUCUAUGUUCGGAUCUUACUUUGGGGUGAUUUUUUUUGGUAGGAUUCGUCUACGAUGAAGAGCGGAGCGCUAGUGCUCACGGAUGAGGUCGGUUUCUCUGUGCGUGCGGUGAGGGAUUUGGGGAUUGAUGGGGCAUCCUUUGAUGAUGCUGUUGUUAUUACCCAAUGCGGCUCUUUGGGUAAGAUCGAUACGCUUUUCUCUUUAGUUGGAUGUGUAAAAGGCCCCAGAAUUGUGAUUUGGUCAUUAAUUAGAAGUUUUGAGGGGUUAAAUAUUCAACGGGGGUUUAAUUUGUUAGGUUUGUGGUUUCCUUUUUGUUUGGUUAGUACUUUAAAUUUCUAAGAGAUUGGUUUGGUGUAGAAUGAUGAACCUUAGAAAUUUUGGAAGUGAUGAACUUCAAUUAAUUAUUCUACAGGGUUUAAUUUGUUUGGUUUGUAGUUUCCUUUUAUUUGGUUAGUACUUUUGAAUUUAUAAGGGAUUGCUUUGGUGUAGAAUGAUGAAACUUAGAAAUUUGGAAAUGAUUGCCUUUAUUUAAUUAUACUACAAGGUUUAAUUUGUUUGGUUUGUAGUUUCCUUGUUGUUUGGUUAGUACUUUAAAUUACUAAGGGAUCCGUUUGGUGUAGAAUGAUGAAACUUAGACAUUGGAAAUGAUUGCCUUUUCCUAUUAAACUAUCAGAUUACGCAGAUCCCUUAGGGUAUGCCAAACUAGAUGUACAUGGUUUCUGAUGAUUAUUAGCUUUCUCCUCCUUUUUGUAGUUUUCACUUGGGACCCUCAUUCCAUGAUGAUUAUUAUUAUUUCUAUCUUUCAUAAAUUCCAAUAUGAAGUUACCAGCAGUAUUCAGAUAUCUCCCCCAUCAUUUGCAUUUCUUCUCGCUGUUUAAAUCUUUAAAAAGCCUAGCGAUUAACCGCUAUCGACAUCAUGAAUGAAUUGGAAGCUAUUAGGGCCUGGUCAAUGGCAACUAUUUACAUGAAUAAAAGUUACAUGAAUAAAUAUAUCAAGAAGAGUGUUUUUAUUGUGUGUGGCCUAUUCUCUCUUUCAUUAGAUGUUUGAUUGCCUCAGUAGUAGAAAUAACUACAAAUAAGUCUAAAGGAGGUAAAAACAUGGACUUUGUCUUUUCCCUCUUCCAUGUGUGCAGAAACUUUCUAGGAUCUAAUUCUCUAUAGACUAAUAAAUCGUAGUACUUGUCAUACUUGCUGGGUUUAAAUAAUGCGGGAGUAAGCAUAUUAUGAAGUGUUUAAUAGUGAAUUAAUGGUCUUCCAGUUCUUUUCUCCUCAUAAACCAGCCAAACAAAUGCCUUUUCCUCUUCUCUUCUUCUAUUUGCAUCAAGAAGAGUUGGAAGAAUCCAUUUUUACACCUUUUUUCUUCCUACUUUUGUAGUUUUUACUUUUUUCUCUCCUAGGCAUGCCAUCGGCACAUUAUGAAUUGAUUUUCCAUCAUUGUAGCAAUAGGUAGACAUGAUACUUAAAUUCCAGCUUGAUAUCCUUUGAGAGUGAUAUUGUCCUUUGUCAGUUGGUUAUCAUGCAAUUGGUGCAUCAAAGGCUUUCAUAACUUAGCUCCAAUUUUUUCAGAAGACACCUUGAUUUGUUAACUUAUGGCCUUUCAUACAGGUGGCAAGUUGCCAUUUGGAGCCGCAUCCUUUGAUUCUGUUCUUGCUGUUCUGAGAAGCCCCGAAUCUUCUGGAGAGCUUUGGCUUGGAGAGAUUGGUCGGGUGUUGAAAUCUGAGGGGCAGAUUAUUAUACAGACUUAUCUGCCUUCCACUUCACUGGAUAAGGUGGAUUGUACAUCUCAUGCUGAUUUGCAUAUUGUACUUUUUUUAAGUGAAUAUUUGAUGCUGAAAGUUUGUAAAAUCUAACUCUUUAACAGCCAAGCAACACAUUAGAGCGCAAACUGCUCUUGUCGGGGUUUGUCGAAAUCCAAGCCUUCGCACCGGCUCAAGAUGGUCAAUCCGUUACGGUGAGUCAAGUCCUCUAUUCUAAAUUGUUGACCUAUCCUGCUUCUUAGUCAUGUGAUAAAGCCGUAUAGGCGCAACCUGAACUAUGAGCUUUUUCAAAUGGGUAUACGAACUUAAAACUUUUGAUUUCAGUACCUAAGUUUCAUCACAUUGGUUUCAAUACUUCUUUGUCAGACAAUAACACUUUUGUAGCUUUAGUUACGGGAUAUUCGUAACAGAAUAUUCUAUUAUUUAAUAGAAUAUUCCUGAUGUCCACCUUUUGAAAUUAAAGAAACUUUAAAGUUUAGAUGCACAUUUUGAGGUGUGCUAUAUUUCAGUCAGUACUGUAUGGUUUUCCUAAUCAUCUUUCCCCUUGGCUUCUCAAUGAUUAUGCCCUUCAUGUGUGCUAGAUUAAGGGUAAGAAGGCUUCUUGGACAAUGGGGUCAUCUUUCCCCCUCAGAAAAGAAGCAAAGAUCCUUCCCAGGGUUCAGAUUGACGAUGAGUCAGAUUUGAUUGAUGAAGAUAGUCUCCUAACUGAAGAAGACCUGAUGAAACCACAAGUACCGAUAGGUUCGCUUUUAGACCCUUUCAUUUUGUCUAGUUGGUUUGCUGAUCCUUAUUCCUGCAUAGAUAGUAACAGUUAUUUAAUGCUGUAAACAGUUGGAGAUUGCGAAGUUGGAAGCACUAGAAAGGCCUGUAAAAACUGUACGUGCGGCCGGGCUGAGGAGGAGCAGAAAGUGCAGAAAUUGGGGCUUACUGCAGAGCAGAUAGAUAAUCCUCAAUCUGCUUGUGGUAAUGUAAGUGACAGAUUACUGAGCAAUCUCGUGUGAGUUUGAAAUGAUAUUUCUCAAAAAUAGUGCUGCCACACCAAUAAAUUAACAGCUACAACGCUUAUAAAAUCAUGUUCCCAAAAAAGAAUGUGCAUUUAAAAUCAUAAAUAUGUGAUUAUUCUCUCAGAUCAAAUGGGAGAAGUUAAUUAAACCACUGAAUGAUGUUCCAUCAUCAAUUAAAGAAAACUCAACCACCAAAGAGAAGUUUAGUUCAUGGAAUUUGGUUGAUAGUUUGGGUACUUCCUGGAUAAUGCACCUCGAGUAUUGCUGCUAAUUACAAGUUUCGAGUUGUUGAUAUUGUUUUUGUUUUUUUUUUCUUUUGUUUAAUGAUUUUUGUGUGUGAAUCUUGUAGUGUGGGCUUGGUGAUGCAUUCCGCUGCGGCGGAUGUCCCUACAAAGGCCUUCCUCCAUUCAAGUUGGGUGAAAAGGUGGCUUCACAAUCUCUUCUUGUUAUUCAUCAUGCGAUUUAUGUCCUCAUUUUGUAUUCAGUUGCUUUAAAUAUAUUUUGGUGGUUAUUUGUAGGUUUCAUUGUCCGGCAAUUUCCUUGCUGCGGAUAUAUGACAGCGGACUGAUAACAGCACUAGAUAGUUAUGAUUGUUUUCGCAAAAGAUGAGCGGAGAUAUUACCUCAUUAGUCUGAUCUCAAGUUGAUGGAAAUGAUAGGAGCUUUUCGUUUCAGUUCUUUUACUUUUGUCGCCUUCUUUCAUAGGAUACUGCAUGUUGGCUGUCUUGAGAGAUUUUAAGCUACAUACUGAAUAUGAAGUUGUAGUAAUAAUUUAAUACUUCUAUCGAUUGAAAACACACAUUAUGUUCUGCAUUGUAAAAUAAAUCAUUUUGGUUCAAUUUAUUUCACCAUAGUUGGAGUGUCUUUGGCUGCUGUGUUAAAUGAUGCAAGGGAAUGUAAUGUGAGACCAACUUGGAAAUUCUCUCUACAUCCACUUAUUUUUAACAAUUCAAUGCAACCCUUUUUUCUUUUUCUUUUUUUUUUUUUUUUCUGGGAAAACUUCAAAUAUUAUCUGUGGUUUUUUGCUUUCUCACUUUAAUAUCCUGUGGUUUAAAGUGUAUUAUUUUAGUUUUUUUUUGUGGUUUUGUUUUUUUUCUUUUCGACGUUACUUUCAUUAACUCUUCGUUAAAUUAUAUAGAAAAAUCUUUAGAUAUAGGCGGUUGAAAAAACUUUAGAUAUAGGCGGUUUAUCGAAUAUUUAUUUUAAUAUCUCGUGGUUUAUCGAAUUUGCACUUAGUAUCAUGGAAUUUAAAGUGUAUCACUUUAGUAUUCUUUGGUUUCGCUUUUCUCUUUCCAUUAGCACCUUUGUUAAUUCUCAGUUAAAUCAUGUAAAAAAAACUUUAGAUAUCUUAUUUAUGAUUUAUCGAAUAUUCAUUUUAAUAUCCGUGGUUUAUUGAAUUUUCACUUUAGUAUUCUAUAGUUUUAACUUUCGCACUGAUUUAAUAAAAAAAUUAAGGGAGGGAAUAACGAAAAGAGAAAACCAAAUUGAGCGAUACAUUUUGAACCAUAGAGUACUAAAGUGAAAAAAUGUGAAAUUACAUGAUGGAAGUAGAUAUAGGUGAAAUCGCACGCAUCAAUUACAAUAACUAUAGAUAGUGUACUGUAAAAGCUGCAACAGGCGCACAAAAUUGACGGUAUUAAGUAUGAUCGUCAAAUCAUUACUGUUUGGCUCGGUGGUAUUGUAAGACUCCAGUUAAUCGUAUAUAUAAAAGAUAUAAUAGGGCUAAAAUUUUUAACCCAGCUUAAUUAUUUUGGGUGGUGACUAAAUUCACCAAGUUAAAAAAGUUAAGCGUGCUAGGAUGGAAGUAGUCCUAAGAUAGAUGACUCCUUAGAAAGUCGGGGUCCUAAGAUGGGUGACUCCUUAGGAAGUCGGGGUGUCACAGGUAUAGCUCGCUGGUGCAUUGAAGACUUUCAAAUUUUUGAUUUUCUUUCUGCAGCUACAAAUAGAUUGUGCAGCAGACAAGAUAAUUGCAAAAAUGUCAAAAAAUAAAAAAUGACAAAGGCAAAUGGCGUCGCCCGGACUCGAACCGGAGACCUUCAGUGUGUUAGACUGACGUGAUAACCAACUACACCACGACACCUCUUGUGUCAGGUUCUUAUUUCUUUUCUACAUAAAUAUAUUAAAUAUGUUAUUUUUUAUUUUCCCCCAUUAAAUCCUUAACAUUAGAGCCUAUUAUAUCCCUAGCCUUUACCAUUUAUCCCUUCGAUCUCUAACGGCAUCGAUUGCGUCAAGACUAAUUGCACUUACCUUCAAUAUCGUCCUCCAUGUCUAUGAUCACCUCGACCUCAUACAGGAAUAAUAUUACUAUCUUUAUUGGAGCAUCUGAUGCCCCUGGUGUGGAACAAGACAUACAGUUAACUCCUCAAGAAAGUUAAAACAGUUGGCGUUAAGAUUGAUUGGGAGAUACUAAAUCGUAAUCGUAUUUUAUGUUAGCAGGUAAAGCUUUAUUAGUGUGGUGUUCUAGAGCUUAGUCGUUGGGCUUGAAUACAGUGGAGAUAGUCGAUCGAGACAUCUGUAGAGUGUCGCGUCGAGUGGGAGUUGUCUUAGCGCGAAAUGGACGCAACAACGUUUAGUUAUGACCGACCGUCUCUAGUGCAAGUGACAAAGAACUUAGUGAUUGAUACUCGAGGUCCCAAGUUUGAAUCCUCACGUUUCAAGCGAAGUUUAUUUCUAAACAAAAUACAUGAAGCGGGUAGUAUACUACCUCUAUCUAAAAAAAAAAAAACGUUCAGCUAUAAAACAUGUGGAUAUUUCUUGGAUGUGAUGUAUGUACAGUAUGACUUUAUUUAUAUUAGUUAUUUUUAUUCCAAUUUUGAUGUUAAUUGUAAUUGUAGUUCUUUAGUUAUAUUUUACAGGUUUAAACGCUCAGUAUGCAUGGAACUUUUCGUAUAUACGACGGAUCUGUUGACGUACUCGAAUUUUCGCUGUAAUCCGGGACGUGACAAUUAAAGAAGGCAUGAACUAGUCUAUUAAAAUUUGCUUGAAUGUGAAUUAUUGGGAACCAACCUACAACAAAAUAUAAAGAUUGUUAUUUUUUUUUUCCUAAAAAGGAGGUUGAAUCUAAAGCACACAUAGAUUUCCAGAAUAUUUUAUUAGUACAUUCUUUGUUAGUUAGUGUAAAAAGAAUAUAAAUUGUAGAGGCAAUUGCUUAUAUAUUUCUGAAAAUUUUUCGACUUUCUGAUUUACUUCUCUUAGAAAGUUAAUAUUGAAAAUACUUUUUUUAUGUUCCAACCUAUUUCAAAUAUAUCCUUAGAGUUAAAAUUUGUUAAUGAACUCUGUUAUCUCUAUUAAAUUACUAUUUUGCUCUUUCAAAUAUACCCUUCCACCAUCAUUAACUUUUCCUAUUUGCCCUUCAGUUAGGAAUAUAAAAAGUAUUUUGCGUUUUGAUCUUUUCAAAUCUACCAUUCUACCAUCACUAACAUUCCUUAUUUGCACUUAAGUUAAGGGCAAAAGUGCUAUUUUAAUUUUUUUUUAACUGUUGUAAAUAAUUAACUCACGUUUAACCCAAGUUAACUUAACGGGUGGCAACGACAGGGGUAUUUUGAAAUAACAGAGGAACAUAUGAAUGGUAUAUUGGAAAGAACAAAAAAAAGGAAUAAAUAAGCUAUUUUUGAAGUAUUGAGGGAUAUAUUAGCAAUUAUUCCUAAAUUGUAAUACUAAAUUGUGGACUUGUUCUUGAAUUGUUAGGUCAUAAAAGCCAAAAACUUUUUAAUUCAAAAUCUUUGAAAUUCUAACUUAAUGCAACUAACUUUGCACAGAAUCAAAGCAGCGGCGCCUGAUCAAAAGCUCUGUUUAGGUCAACAAUUCAAAAGCACUUUUCACCCUUUGAAACUCGUGUUCUUGUUAAGAUAAAUUGACUAAAGAUAUAUAAUAAUUUCUACACAAAUUUGGAAAAUCAUGCGAAGUUUAUUUUUGACCUGCUAGAUGGUGCUGGUCAAUAGACCGAGAGAAAGAAAAAAAAAAAAAAAAAUCUAAAAUGUAUCAGUCACACCACCCUAACUAAUUAAAUGGGAAAACUUCAAAUAACCCCCUGUGGUUUCACUUUUCUCACUUUAGUACCUUGCCAUUUAAAGUGUAUCAAGUUAGUAUCCUGUGAUUUCACACUUUCGCACUUUAGUACUCUGUGGUUUAAAAUGUAUCAAGUUAGUACCAUGUGGUUUCGCACUUUCUCACUUUAGUACCCUGUGGUUUAAUAUUUCAUUAACCGAAAAAUGAAACUACAGAGUACUAAUUUGAUACAAAAAUAAAACCACAUGGUACUAACUUGAUACAAAAAUAAAGCCACAGAGUACUAACUUGAUACAUUUUAAAUUACAAGAUACUAAAGUGAGAAAGUGCGAAAUUAUAGGGUACUAACUUGAUUCACUUUAAAUCACAGGGUACUAAUCGUAAAUUUUGAAAAGUAUUUUUUAAUGGUUUCCUAUGAAAAAGUAAGUUUUAAUUGGCUUGUGACAAAGAUGAUAUGAUAUGUUACGGAGAAAACCAGCUUCCAGAAAAGACAUAUUGAAUCUAAAAUUAUUCAAAACAUUAUGUCUAAAUUCUCCAUUUUNGAAGCGGGGGGUCCUUAGCGGCGUCGUCACCGGCGCCGUCACUGGCGCCGUAGCUGUUGGCAGAGAAGGUGACAAAAAAAUUAUAGAAAAAACAGAAAAAAAAGAAAUAAAGAUAAAAAAUUAUAUAAAAAGAAGGAUGAAGAUGAAAUUACAUCGUUAAUUACAAAAAAAAUUAUAAGUUGCACUAUUUAAGAUGUAAACUGCUGUUUUAAGAUAAAAUUUAUACUCUUUGAACGAAAAUUAUACUAUUUUUUAUCUUAAACUGCAUCCUUUUAGGUGAUAUUUAUACUGUUUCUCUUCUUGUUGCACUGUUUCUCCUGUUGUUGCAUUAUUUCUCCUCUUAUUUACACAGAAAUGAUGCAACAAGAGGAGAAACAGUGCAACAAGAGGAGAAACAGUAUAAAUAUCUCUUAAAAGGAUGCAGUUUCUCCUCUUAUUGCAUUGUUUCUCCUCUUGUUGCACUAUUUCUCCUAUUGUUUACACAGAAAUGGUGCAACAAGAGAAGAAACAGUGCAACAAGAGAAGAAAUAGUAGAUAUAUCUCUUAAAACAGUGCAGUUUCUCCUCUUGUUUACACAGAAAUUGUGCAACAAGAGGAGAAACAGUAUAUAUAUCUCUUAAAACAGUGCAAUUUCUUCUCUUCUUGCACUGUUUUUUCUCUUGUUGCACUAUUUUUUCUCUUAUUUACACAGAAAUGAUACAAUAAGAGGAGAAACAGUAUAAAUAUCUCUUAAAAUGGUGCAGUUUAAGAUAAAAAAUAGUGUAACAAGAGGAGAAAUGGUGCAACAAGAGGAGAAACAAUGCAACUUUUGUUUAAAGAGUGUAACUUUCAUCUUAAUGGAUGCAGUUUACAUCUGAAAGAGUGUAAUAAGAAGAGAAACAGUGUAAAUAUUUCUCAAAGAGUGUAAUUUUCGUUUAAAGAGUGUAGUUUUCAUCUUAAAGCUGGAGUUUACAUCUUAAAUAGUGCAAUUUAUAAUUUUUUUGGCAGUUAACGAUACAAUUUGAUGUUCAUCAUUCUUUUUAUAUAAUUUUUUUUAUCUUUAUUUUUUUUCCUGUUUUCUCUAUAAUUUUUUUUUGUCACCUUCUCUGCCAACAGCCACGGUGCCGGCGACGACACCGCUAAAGACCCCC
rnacentral:lncRNA from 1 species